AUAUAUUUAACUUAGCGGCAUAUUUUGAAUCUGUCGCCAAAAAAAUUGCCACUAUAUAGCUUAUUUCUUGUAGUAUGACGACGCUUUUUGGACUAUGGGAAGUGUUGAGCAACAGUGUUAGUGAGGUUUGAUGUUCAGAUUGUUUGAGGUCCCAAAAUCUCCCGCGGUUGAUUUAGUGCAAAUGACAAAAAUCGAGCCGAGAUCAGAUCGAUGAAUUGGGUUUCGAUUGCGUUUUCACAGAAUCGGAAUUGUGGAUAUCCUGAAUAGGUGUCAAGCCUCAUUGGCUGACCUCGCCUCGCUAUUUGUGUCCCUUGUGGCAGUGUAAACGUUGUGGGUGGUCUCAAUAUCGAAAUAAAUAUUCUGGAACCCGGUUUGAGUUACUUUUUGGAGCUGUGGCUCCUGUUCUUGCGCGUUUUCUUUACGGUUUGCCAAACACCAAAAAUAGGGUGAUUGGGGACAGCAGGAAAGAUUCGAAGAUGUUUGGUGUGACUCGGGACAUUUUGUGGCCUGACGUGACAUCCUGGUGGGUUUAUGCGGAAGUAGGCGGAUUUCGAAAAUCGAUAAGUAGGUCCUAUGUUUUGAUUGGGUCGUUGCGUGUUUGUGGUUGACUUGAUGUCACCUGGUUGGUAAUGUUGUGGUGUUGAUACUGUCGUAGGAUCGAACUUUUAUUGUGUGCGUAAUCUGACAUCAAAGUGGUGUUCCGAUUAUCGUAGCGGUGCCUUUAGGCCUUGUCGUGGGUUUAAUUCAGUGGUUGUUGUCUAGUUCGUCGAGCACUUGCCGUGCGGUCGUCCUGACACCUAAAGUGGUGUGUCUCUAAAUAGUAGAAGUGUUGUUGUGAUUUCCUGUUGAGUCUGUUCGUUAUUGGGCUUACUUCUGUGAACUUGGUUGUGGAAUUGAUGUUCCAGUCGGGUCGUGGUGCACGUUGGUAUAGGUUGAGCGUGUCGUUUAGUAUAGAUGACACGUGUGGUACUGAUUGUGACAUUUGGUAAUUGUAUCUUUUAGGUACAGGUGAUAGCUAGAUACGUUGGUCGAGUCGAGGACUUGGGUACUUGAAGAGGUAAGUACUCCAUUCUGAAAUCGGUAAAGUUGUAUCUUACUCGGUUUUCCUAUAUAUUUCUAUUGUUUUAUUAAACUCGUGAGUAGUAUAACUUGACAUCCUAAUAUGACAUGCUCGUUGCUCUACGUGUUGGUUGCUUGAUCUAUCUACUUAUCAUAUUGCUUAUAUUGGUACCAAGAAACACUUCCCCUUUCCCCCUCGCUCUCCCCCUCCCUCUCGUCGCUGCUUUUCAAAAGGAAGGAGGAGAACCCCUGAACCCUCUCAACCCUCGAUUCAGGAACCUUGCCUAGGGUAUAUCUACACGAUUCCUCUCUCUUUCUCGCUCUUUUUUUCUUUCUCACCCUCAACAUAGAGAGCCGUGGGGCGAGCAUCGAGUCGACCUCCAUUAAUGGCGUAAAGCUCUACUCCUUUUCGGGCCAGCGCUACACGGCCACACGGCUCACCCCGAGGAAGCAGAGAACAUAGAGCCCUUCGCAAGGACAAAGGUCCUCUUCUAACCCUAUCCAAUUCAGUUUGUUCUUUAUUUCUCUUUAUUUAUGUUUGUAAAGCAGCCCAAUUUAUGAUUUAUAUUUUUUGGUUUAUAAAUUGUGAAAAAAUUCAUAUUUUUUUCCGAUAAUAAGAUCCUAGUUUGAUGAAUGGGAAGUUGGGUUUUUUCUCUCGAACAAUUUAUGUUUUAUAAAUUUUAUAUUGGUUCGGUUAAAAAAUAUUUAAUCAUAGAGGAAAUAUUGUUAAAAACUUGAAAAUAAUUAUUUUUAGAUAGAAAUUGGUAGGUAUAACAUGAGGUUCAUAAAGAAAAAUAAAGGGAGAAAACUAAUACCGAGAAUUCAGUUUUGAUUUUUAUCUUUCAUUUAUCUCUAGACAUAAAUUCACAAUUCUUUUGAUUUGAAUAUUGUUAAUAUCGAUUAUAUGAAUGGCUAUUGAAAACAAUAAGUGAAUUAAUGUAUUACAAGAAAAGUUUGAUAAGUUGCAUUACAAUAUAAUGACUGAACCCUUCAUUGUGUGAUGUUCUAACCAUAGUUAGUUAAUUCGUGAAUAAUUCGCGAAUUUUUCGCAAAUUUUUGAAGAAACAAAUAAAUCAGCUGAAAUCAAUAAUUUUUUGAAAAAUUUAAAAAAAAAGUGAUUUUUUGAUCAAAAAUAAUUAUUCGUGAAUUAUUCGCGAUUUCCGAAUAAUUCGCCCAAAAAAAACGCCCGCUCGCCCGUCGCGUUUGGUUCGAGUUGUGUAAUAUUAUAUUGUACUAGUGUUGAACCCGUGCUUUGCUGCGGAUAAUUUUGACGCUAAUUCGAAAGUAUAAUUAUAAAAGAAAAAAAAAAAAAGAGAACCAAGAAAAAUUAAAAGAGAAUGACAACAAAAUAUAUCAUUAUCAACUAUACAAAUAUAUAUUUAGAGUGCAUGAUUACUAAGCAUUAAGAUAUAUUGGUUAAAUAUAAUUUAGAAAACAUAUAAAAAUAAGAAGGAAUUCUAAAAAUUGACACAAACUUAAGCAAUACAACGACCGCUGUCCAUCCCGUCAGCACGUCUUCAGGGUGGCGCAAUAUGAACAGUAUGAGCUUUCAGAGAUCCAACAAAAAUGAAAAUAUAAAGCUCAGUAUAGAAAUCAAUGUGAAAGAAAGGUGAGGUAGAAGAGACUAUUAAGGUGCAAGCUGAGGUUAAGUCUUCUCAUACGCAUAUGUGCACCUUCAUCUUUUUAACCUCUAUAUAUGGAAAAGGUUUUGGUCCAAAGGAAUAUGUUGGUCAAGAUAUUGACCCUUUCCAAUGUUGGUCCUCUUUUCAAUAUUGGUCCUCUUUCCAAUAUUGGUCCUCAUGUUGGUCCUCUUUCCAAUGUUGGACCCCUUUCCAAUGUUGGUCCUCUUUCCAAUAUUUUACCAAAUCCGGGUAAAAUUUUUUUGCGUGAAAAAAAGAGCCAAAUGUGAAGGCUUUAGGGAGAAGAGAGAAAAUGAAUGGCGUGAAGGCAUAAAUUACUUCCACGUCUAUUGUCACAACCAUCAAAUUAUGUAUUUGUAUGAAUUUCGAUAUAUCCAGAUGUCUUGGAUUUCUAAAUGAGAUUACUACUGAUGCGGUAUUAGUGCGUUUGGUUUAAUAAAGUAAUGUAAUGCUGGAUUGCAGUGUUUAUAACGUUACUAUGUUUGAUUCUGUCUAUAAAAUUUAGUAAUCUAGACAAUAAAAUAUAGUCUAUUCCAAAAUUGUCCUUAGUCAUAUUUAUUAAAUUUUUUUUACUGUUCACAAACAAUAUUCUUUUACCAAAUUUUAUUUUAAAUAAUUUAAUUUUUUAAAUUUUAAAUUUUAACAAAAAUACAAAUUUAAUAUUUUAAUUUAAAAUAUAAAUAUAAAAUUUCUAAAUUUAAAGUCUAAAAUAUAAAUAUAAAUAUAUAUAAAAUAAAAAAUUAAAAUCUAAAUUUAAAAUUCAAAAUUUAAAAUACAGAUUUGUAUUUUAAAAUUUAAAAUUUAAAAUUUAAAAUUUAAAAUUUAAAAUUUAAAUUUAAAAUUUAAAAUUUAAAAUUUAAAUUUUAAAUUUAAAAUUUANCAACAUAUAUAUUUCCCUUAAUUAUAUAUGUCGAUAAUCAAAUGCAUAUAUAGGAACGAUUGUUAUAAACGAAACUAAUUAAUUAACAGUGCUUGCUCCCAUAUGGGGCCGGGGAGAUAUAUAUAUAUAUAGAUAGAUAGCUAGAGAGUUGCUUUAAGUUUGGCACACUUAAUUAAUUAAUUAGCUCAUAUAAAGCUGUGUGUCAAAUACAAGCUAGAUUCAUAGAUUGGGCUUUUUUUGCAAAUAGCCCUCUGAUAAAUUUUAUUUUUAAAAUUGGCCCUGUCAAAAUUUUAUUUGCAAAAAUGGCCCUGGUCCCGUCACGCAAGCGCCACGUCAGCGCCACGCGGGCGGGACUGGGCCAUGUGUUUAAGUUGAACACGGUGAACCAUUCACCGUGUUCAAUACAAGGUUUUUGUAUUAGACACGGUGAAUGGUUUACCGUGUCCAAUACAAAAUGGUUAACUGCGAGGUAUUUGUAUUGGACACGGUGAAUCAUUCAUCGUGUCCAAUACAAAUAAUUGAACACAGUGAAUGAUUCACCGUGUCCAAUACAAAUACCUCCAACUUAGCCAAAAAUGACUAAGUUGUGGGUGUUUGUAUUGGACACGGUGAUACAAAUACCUCGCAGUUAACCAUUUUGUAUUGGACACGGUGAACCAUUCACCGUGUUCAAUACAAGAUUUUUGUAUUAGACACGGUGAAUGGUUCACCGUGUCCAAUACAAAAUGGUUAACUGCGAGGUAUUUGUAUUGGACACGGUAAUUCACCGUGUCCAAUACAAAUAAUUGAACACGGUGAAUGAUUCACCGUGUCUAAUACAAACACCCACAACUUAGUCAUUUUUGGCUAAGUUGGAGGUAUUUGUAUUGGACACGGUGAAUCAUUCACCGUGUCUAAUACAAAACCUUGUAUUGAACACGGUGAAGAUUCACCGUGUUCAACUUAAACACAUGGCCCAGCCCCGCCCGCAUUGUGCUGACGUGGCGCUUGCGUGGCGGGGCCAGGGCCAUUUUUGCAAAUAAAAUUUUGACAGGGCCAAUUUUAAAAAUAAAAUUUAUAAGGGGGCUAUUUGCAAAAAAAACCCUUAAAAAAAAUAUUUUCAUUUUACAUAAUAUGUAGUAUUGCCGGUUUUCAGUAAUGCAAGAUACACGAUCCCCUAUCGUUAAUAUUUUCGGUAUAAUUUUGCUUGAUUUGUAAUGUUAUAUUAACGACGAGAUUAUAUAGAGGAUAAACCAAAUACGAUAAUUCUGACAGGAUUGCUUAUAAUCCAGUCAGGAUAACUUGAAACAAACGCACCUUGAAACAAACGCACCCAAAAAGGCCAAAAAAAAAAAAAAAAAAAAAAACCAAGAAAACCUUCGGUCCGCAACCCCACCUAAAAAAAGAAAAAAAAAUCACUCGAUCAAAAAGGUUUUGCCCUAACUUCUCACCCCUGCGGCCCUGCCACCGACCCCAGCCCGUAUCCCUUCCCCUCGCCCUCUUCCCUUCCGGCCGCUCGCCGAACGCCACCGGAAGCCCCCGCGGGGCCACAUCGAAGAUCGAGUUCUUCACUCUUCAGAAAUCAGAGCCCUCCUCGUCGCCUCUUCCUCUUCCUCUUCCUCUUCCGCUUCCGCUUCCGCUUCCGCUUCUGCUCUCCAACGAUGGAUCAGUAAUCGGGUGGUUCUUUACAAGAAUUUUUAUGCUUUAGUUUCUCUCUCCCUUUUCUUUAUUUCAUCUUCUCUUAAUUGCUAACUGUAUGGUUUUGAGUAACAAGACCAUGACUACAACAUGUAGCAUCAUUGUAAACAUGCAUUUAUUAAGAUUCAUUACUUAUUUUUUUUAUCUUUAAUCUCUACAGCAUACAUGAAUAAUUGAAUAUACCCAGCAUACAAGAAUAAUCAGCAAAUAAGGUUUUAAGAAUUAAGACCUCAAAAGGUUUGAUAUGCCCGGCAGGUUGUGAGUAAGGUUUUUGAAAGUCACAAGCAUAUGCAUUGAUUAAAAACCAAGGGAGAUACAGAUUUGAGUUUGCUAUUUGCUUAAUUACCCUUAUUUAUUUAUUUUGGGGCAUAAUAUAGUUUGCUAUUUUUUUUUUUUUUACUUAAUUAGCUUAAAGAAUUAUGAGUAUUUAUGCUAAUAGCAUAAAUCUUGAGAGAAAAAAAAUUUAAUUUAAUAGUCGAAUUUUUGAUCCCGAAUUUUUAAUUGGUGAACGUAUAAUAUCCGUAUAAAUCACGUAUCCGAAUAAUUGGCGAAUCCGUUUUUUAGCCGUACCUUUCAAAGAAUUUAAAAAUUAGAAAACGAAUUUUAUCCGAAUUAUAUCCGUACCGAAUUUUUGCCGAAUCCGAAUUAACUAACUAUGCUCUAGAACAUCGACUCAGGGACCUCGGCUAGGGUCUCUCUCUCUCUUCGCACCACCCUUGACAUGGCGGGCCGUGGAGAAAGCAUCAAGUCGACCUCCAUUAAUGGUGUGAAGCUCUACUCCCUCUCGGGCCAGCGCUCCACGGCCACAUGGCUCACCCCGAAGAAGCAGAGAGCCCUUCGCAAGGACAAAGGUCCUCUUCUAACCCUAUCCGAUUCAGUUUGUUCCUUCUUUCUCUUUAAUUUAUGCCUAUAAAGUAGCCCAAUUUGAUGAUUUAUAACGUUCUAGUUUAGAAAUUCUGAAAAAUUUCAUCUUUUCUUUAGGAGAUAUAAUCCUAAUUCGAUGAAUGGGAAGUUGGGUUUUCUCUCUAACGAUCAUAUUUAUAAAUUUUGUAUAGCUUCGGUUAAAUGCAUUUAAUCAUAGAGAAAUAUUGUUGGAAACUUGAAAUAAUUGUUUUUAGAUAGAAAUCGGUAGGGAUAACAUGAGGUUCAUAAAGAACAAGCAUGUGAGAAAAUUAAUACUGAGAAUUCGCUUUUGAUUUUCAUCUUUCAUUUGUCUCUAGACAUAAAUUCACAAUUCUUUUGAUUUGAUAGUAUCAAUUUUUGUUGGUAGUAUUGUUAAUAUUGAUCAUAUGGAUGGCUGUUAUGAAAAAUAAACGGAUUAACAUAUUGCGAGAGAAGCUGGAUAAGUUGCAUUACGAUGUAAUGACUGAACCCUUCAUUGUGUGAUGUUCUAAUUCUAUCAUAUCUAUAGAAACGUAAGAACCAGGGAAGACUGCAAUAAUAGGGAAAAAUUUUAUGUUCAUCAGCUACUGCUGCUUGCAUUGGCAUUUUUUUGCCACUUGCUUCCUAAACCUCCUCAAGUUUUAUGCUGACUUGAUCUAAUCUUUACCUCCUUGUUAUUUCAUUUUGUUUUUCUCGACUUUCUAUAGUUCGGUCUUUCAAUUGAAAAAUAGAUUAAUAUCAUAAACUUUCCUAUUUUUCUUUUCAGCACUUGUGCUCACUUUGGGGCUUUUGCUAAUUGCAUUGAUUUGAAAAUUGUGCUGUUUGGAUUUUAUUUAAUUGAGAAAACGUCCGUAUGUGUUACUCUAUAAUUAGCGAGCGUCCUAGGUUGGUUGCAGUAAUAUUUCUUACGUAACAGGAGGAAGGUCAAGGAAAUUGGCUGAAUGCUUGGAACCUUUUUUUUUUUUUUUUAAAUGUCUCUUAUCUUCUUUCUUCUUUGCUAUUUUUCAUGUUGUAAGAUUUUCUUUAACUGUUUUAUGAUGGCUUGAGAGAUUUUUAUGAUUUUCAACUGAUUUAAUGUUUUUCCUUUUAUCGAGGAUUAGGUUAUCAGCAAAGAGUGGACCUAAUCCAGGACCUAAGUUUUGAGACAGCAACAACUAAAAUUAAGGCAACUCCUAAUGGAGAGUAUGUUAUUGCAUCAGGUACAUGAGUUCGUAAUCAUCUUUCUUCAUAUGGUUAUAGUUAAUUUAAUGAGAGUGAAUUGUUCUCUUUUCUUGUAACUGUGAAAUCAUGCCUUUCUAGCGCAUGGUGGUGGUGGAAUUUUUGAGUACUUCUUGUGACCAUGAUUUUUUUUUAGUUGAAACAUGUUUAAUGCAGUCAUUUGGUAUUUUGUUUUAGGUAACCAUGAUUUUAUUUGAGUUGAAACAUGUUAAUGCAGUCAUUUUGUUUUAGGUAUUUAUCCUCCACAAGUAAAAGUAUAUGAGUUGAAACAGUUGUCAAUGAAGUUUGAAAGGCAUCUCAUUUCAGAAAUUAUAAAUUUCCAGGUUCCCUCUAAUGUUCUCAUUUCUUAUUUGUCUUAUUGUGUAUUUGCUUUCCAGCUAUUUUGCAGAUCAGGCAUAUUUUUUAUCUUAUUUCCACUUCUUCUGUUGCUUGUGCAAUAUUCUUUGUUAUUUUACAAACUUUAAUGCCACUUUUUGAUAGGCCAAUAAUUUUUCUUAUAUACAAGCCACUGUUAAACAUCUUUGAUUCUUUCCCUUGUGUUGUUGACGAAGCAUAGUAGCUCAAAUUUUAGUAUUUGACAGUUCAAGGUGAUAAUUUUGUUCUAAGUGGUGAUUUGCAACAAAUAAGGCUCUUUAUGAAUUUUCAUUCCUAAGGUUUGAAAAUAUAUGGAAAUAUUGGGAUAUAAGGCGGGUUCAAAGAUUUUACAGACCACAAAUUCGAAUUUGUAUUAUUAGAUGUUCACUCUGCAAUGUUUCUACUAAAGUCGAUAGUUGGGGUGUUUAAAAUUUUAUUUUUUUUAAUUGGUAUUUUUUUAAAAUUUUUUGGUGAGAAGUAUUUGUGACCCUAUCAUUUUUGUAGAUGACUUCAAAAAAAUUUAACUUACAGAUAUUGGGUGUGAGUUGAGUCUUUGCAUAAUUCUAGAGAUCCUUGCUUUUAAGUAUGAGCUCACUUCUAUGGUCAGCCUAGACCAGUACAUUUAAUCUUCAUGUUCAUAAUAGUGCUCCCAAUUGAUGAUAAAGCCACUUAACUUAACAGAGUGCUGUGAAAUCUGGAUUACGAAUUGGAGAAAUCAAAUAGCACCAAUCCAUUUUCUCUCCAUCUUGUUUUACAAUAAUGUUGGUAUCAUCAGUUGAUGUGGGCUUUUGUCUUGUAGUCAAGGAUUAAAGUGCCGCCUCAUGCUGUACGGCACGGGGCGGCACGUACCGUGCCUAGGGGGGUCUCGGACCCCCCCUCGUGCCGCGGCACACUCCGCCGUAUCACACGAGACCGUGCGUUAUGGCAGAGUGUGCCGCGGCACAGUGCCGUGUCGACAUUGUUGUUUUAUUUUUAUUUUUUGCUUUUUGCUUUUUUUUCCUUUUUGUUUUGUUCUUUGGGAUACCAAGAAACUUCCGAGUAUCCCACAUCCCCCAAAGACAUUGCAAAUCAAAAAUCUACUUGUUGAGUAAGCCAAAAAAAUUAUAAUUUAAUUUUUUUGUUUGUCAAUAUAUUGACAAAUUUUUAAUUUACAUAUCUGAUUCAUACUGCGGGGCCGAAGCCCCCCGCAUCCCCCUCGGAUGUCAGUAGUGGGCUGCGGGCUCUAGGCCCGAGCCCUCUGUUUCUACCACAAACAUCCAUUUUUUCUUUACAAAUUAUUUUAUCAAAAUUUGUCGCAUCGUGAAAUUUUUUGCGAAUUAGGGGAACAAAAUCGAACUCAAUAAACAAAUUUUGAGGCACAUCAAACAUAAAAUUUAAUUUUUGCGUUAGAAGAUUGAAAUUACUGAUAAAAUUAAAAGCUAAAUUAAAUCAAUUGAUACUUAAAUUUAUUUAAUUUGUUUGUUAUAUAAUUUAUUGCUUAAGUUUUUUAAUAGAUUUAAUAAUUUUUUGAAAAAAAUAAUUAAAAAAUAAUUUUUGAAAAUAAUUUUGAAAAUAAUUUUUUUGUAUUUUAUAAAAGGAAGACUGUAAUAUGGUUAAAAGAAAGAAAGAAAGAAAGAAAGAUGUCUUUGCAUUUUAAAAAUUUCAACAUGUAAAAAUUUUUAUUCUGCAUCAGGUAUAGUUGUACUUUACAUACAAAAAAACUUACAAUUAUAUUAAUUGAUGAGUAUAGCAAGCUAUACAUUGCAAAUAUUCAUAAUUAUUUGAUUAAAUCUUUCAAAAUAAUAUUAUAAGAACUUAUUGGAACAAAAAAAACUGAAAUAAGUCCGUGCCAAAACGUGCCAGUAGGAGGUCAUGCGUAUCCAUCGGCACGCAAGCGUAUCAUGUAUCGGCACGGAAGCGUGCCGAUGCCGUACUGUGCCAGGCAGACAGCAGCACGCUCCCGUGCCACAGCACUUUAAACUUUGCUUGUAUUAUCUUACACAUUCUGAGUGGACAAACCCAUUAGUUCUUAUCGACUAUCCAUAUAAGUAUGCUGUAUGUUUGCUUGAAAUUUGCUUGGGAAUUAAACAUAGGCAUUGUAUAAAACUAUAUGCACCUCUGAAUCAUUUAAAAUAUACAUUCCAUUAAGGUUGAAACAAUGCCGGUCCUCUUCUCUGCAUAUUCAUAACUUUCUUCUGUGCCAUUGGCACCUUCUUUGGGGAGUUCAUGAUAUUUAUGCACUUAUGUCUGUUAAUCAAGGAUCACUCUAUUUUGGCAUGGGUCAUGGCAGAAGUCAAUACAUUUCGGGAAGCUACCAUUGCAUGAGUGACAUGAGCUUGAAAUGGAUGCGAUGAGCCUACAUGAUUUAGUGCUUGUGGGACUUGGCUUCUUAUUUUGCUUUGUACUGUACUCACCUUUAGUAAAGCAUCUGAAAAACUGAAAAGUUUGUAGCUUCUGCUGUGGUGGGAAAAUUAAAUGAGAUUUUGAGGGUGCUUUAACAAUGUCAUGUUUGUUUUGCUCCGCUUCUUCUUUUGCUUUAAUCUGCAGUCACAUCUAGAAAAUUUUGUGGCUUUUGCUGAGCUUCUGAUUUUGUGAAGAGAAGCAAUUUUGGGCUCGAGUAACAAUUCAUCGAACAUCAUUAUGCCCUGAAGAAGAGAAGGGCCUAAGUAGGCCCUUAGUACAAGGUCAAUAUAAUCUGGUGCUUGUUGCUCGAAUGGUGUAUCAAGUGCUUGUAAUGUUCUGAAAUACUACAUGCUUUUUGAGUAGCCUUGAUUUACUGAAGUAAAUAAAAAAAGUCCUAGUAAGUAGCAGUCGUUACUUAGUCCAUCUGUUUACAUCUACCUGUUCAUGCAGCAUAUAAACAACUUAAAUCCAGUGUGCUUCCUAUUUUACAAAUACCUGGGUUAAGUAAAUCUAAUUAGAGUUCCUUUUCUAUUGUUUGCAAAUUGUAAUUGCUUUUUGUUGCCUGUAUUAUUCCUUGAGAAAGAUUUGCGACAAAGUUUCAAGUUGUAUCAUGCACUUCUUUAUUGGAUUCUCAGGAUAGACUCUUUGCUGAUAACCUUCUCCCUUUAUAUGUAUUUUAUAGGUAUUUUAGAUUAGUGAGCGAUCUUUUAAAUUGUAAAGUACUUAUAGUUGUCAUUGCUGUGAUAACUAAUUAGGGUCUCUUAUAUAGGUAUUAGAUGAAGACUAUUCAAAGAUAGCAUUUUUAUGUUCUGAUCGCUCUGUGUGCCUACAUGCGAAGUAUGGAAGCCACUAUAGCUUGAGACUUCCGAGGUUAGUUUAAACUCUCUCUCUCUCUCUCUCUCUCUGUGAAUAUUCUAUGAUACAAUGUUUCUUUCUGUAUUCACUUGGUAUAGGAGGGUUUAACUGCAUUGGUGUUCUGUUAUUCCUGAAAGCCUGAUUAGUCCAAGGUUGCUGUUGCCUGUUGAACUGUUGAGCUUGCAUAAAGACUAAUAUUUUUCUAUUACCAGGAUGGGAAGGGAUAUUGCAUAUGAUUGCUGGUCCUGCGACUUGCUAUGUGCUGCUUCCUCACCAGAUCUGUACAGAAUCAAUUUGGAACAGGUCACCGUAUUAUCUUUGAACUUAAUAAUUUUUUUCUUUUCUUUUCGUGCUUUUUUUAAAAAAAACCUUUUAAGCGUGCUUCAUAUAAGCUGCCUUGAAUUUUCCUUUGUGGCUACUGGCUAGGGUCUGGUGCAUGCAAAUUACAUUGUGAAAGUUGGACGUCACUGUUUUAAGCCAUAUUUAGUAGUAUUCUGAUAUUGUAUAUGAAGAGAAGGCAAAAAACUAUGUUUACUGUUUAAUUGAGGGAAACAAAAAAGAAAGGGAGGGGGGCAAUAGAUAGAUCGCUCUAUAUAUCUGUAUAUUUUUUCUGUCUGUAUAUUUAGCCAAUACAUGCAAGGAUAGUUCUAUGGCUUUUAUUGCUUUCAUCAGAUUUGUUUGGUUAAUAUUGCGGCAUUACUAGUACGCGACUGAAAUUAGUUGCUGUUGUUAUAUACAGAUGUUUUGGUCGCAAUUUUAGUAGUCUAUGAAUGGCAAUCAGGGAGAAGUUGUGAUAGUGACUUUUAGUGUGAGACAAAUGCUAGUAUCAAUAAUCCUUUUGCUCUCUUAUACUGACUAGGUCCUUUUGGCAUUGACAAAAGCCUAUCUGCAAGGCAAAAUUUUGCUUUUGGUUUUAUAUUCGACGAGGUGGAAGUUCAAAAGUUUAUUUUUUUUACUUAUUCUUUGCUCUUAGUUCCUUUCUACAUUAUAGGUAUCAUUUGGCAUUCUCUGAUUCUGAUGCAAAUACAAAAAUCCCCAGCUUAUUUUUGAUGAUUUUGGGUUACUUCAAGUGGGAUAGAGAGUCUUGUUGAUAUAGCAAAUUCAAUUUUAUAGACUGGCAAUAAGUACCAUAGUUAGUAGCAUCUUUAAAUUUUGCUGUUAGAAUCAUCAUUAUAUAGGUAACAUACUAUUUCUCGAGUCCAGUGGACCAUUUGUCCUUGUAUAAAAUGAAAUCCUAACUUUUAUUUCUAUGAUAUACAUUUUGACAGGGACGUUUUCUAUCCUCACUGACCUCUCAAUCACCUGCAAUAAAUGUUGUCUCUCGAAGGUUGGACCUGCUAUUUAUUUGCGUAUUGUCAGACGUAUUUGUUUGUUGGUAAACUGUAUAUAAAUUUUUUUUUUAUCUCCUUGGAUAAUUUCAGCAAUAUUCAUGGGCUUGUUGCUUGUGGUGGCGAGGAUGGUGCUGUUGAGUGCUUUGAUAUGAGAAAGAAAUCUUCUGUUGGUAGAAUCAGUACUGCUGCUUCUCCUGAUGACAUAGGCCAGGUAAGUGUUUUGCUUUUUUUGUCUUAGUAAUUUUCUCCCCCUUUUCUUUCAUACAGAGGAUUUUGAUUAAAAUAUUUUUGGUGUCCCCAGGAGGUAACAGCUCUGCAGUUUGAUGAAUCUCAAGGCUACCUCAUGGCUGCUGGGAGCAGUACUGGAAAGGUAUGGUUUUUACAUCAUUAUUAUUAUUUUGUUAAUUUUGGCUUCUAGUGUUUGAGAAGUUUUUCUGAAGUGACAUGCCAUAAUCUUCACAUGCUGUCAUUCCAUUAAGAUGUAAAUUGCCUUCUCCAUUGGCAUGUAUGUGUUCUUGUUUGUAUUGUACUUCUGAAAGUCUGCUUCUAUUUUCAGAUUUAUUACUGUAUGUGAAGAAGAAUACCUCGCUGGCACUAUAAAUAAGCAAUAGUAAUUCCUAUACAAAUAAAUAUGUUAAACAAAAUGUCACAUGUAGUAUAUACAUUCUAUCCAAAUUCUGUUGCAUAAUUUUAACGAAGCAAUUUUUGUUGGAAGCUAAUUGCAUAGCAAAUGAACAUGGAAUGCCUUCUCUUGUAAUAUCAAAUUUUGCUUUCAGUACCAAAGGCUUUCUGAAAUUGCAUUAUUAAUUAUCCUCAUAAUCAACAUGAAGGAAUGCUCUAAUCAUUCUCUCUUAGUGUGUGUGUAUAUAUGGACUGGAGCUAGAAUACUAUUAAUAGUAUAAGAAUAGUAUUUACUAUUCACUUUUUACACCCUUGGAUGCUUAGGGUUUGGUGGGGGUUGAUGGAAUACUAAUAAUCCAAGGGUGGAAAGGCGGAUAAUAACCACUAUUCAUAUAACUAUUAAUAGUAUCCUUGUUCAACUCUCUCUCUCUCUCUCUCUCUCUCUCUCUCUCUCUCUAUAUAUAUAUAUAUAUAUAUAUAUUUUUUUUUUUUUUAAGUUUAUAAAAGAGCUUCACAUGUGCAACUAUGUUGGGCUAGGAUGAUAUGCUCAUUCUGCAGAUACUUAGAAGUUAUAUCUUGUUAGAAUAGAUGAGACAAAUGGGAGUCCUUUUUUUGUCUAAUUGCGGAAGCAGACUUGCAAAGGCCAUAUGAGCUUAUUUGAAAACAUUUUUUUACAGCAGCCCAAGGGGCAGGAGGGCUUCGAAGUAUUGAAGUUCCACACCUCUCUUUUAUGAAUAAUACUUAACAAGACCAUUAUGUGUUCCUUUGUUUCUUUCUCUUUCCUCUGUACAACAUAAGAUAAUGCAGUGAAUACUGAGCUAAUAAUGUGAAUAGUGAGAACUUAAGGAAACACUUAUUUUCAUUAGCUUUUCAUGCCUAUAUGUUUCUGAAAAUAUGAAGUUGUUGGAAUGAUCCUACAGUGAAUAUUGAAUUAACAUCAAUAAUCAUCAAAAAGUGGUGUGAUUUAUUCAGUAAAAUCUGUUGCCAAAAACUUAGUAGCUUUGUUUCUUAGUACUUCAAUCUAUGUAGAGCAAGAUACUAAACACCAGGCCCCCAAAAUUUUUUUAAAAAAGAAGCGAAACUUCUCUAAAAUUGCAUAAAAGUCAACUCAUGGAGUUGAGCUCUAAUGAGCAAAACCAACUGCUUUCCAUGGUUUUAGGCCUGUCCUAAUCAAUGUUUUAAAUAGCAACCGCUUGUGACACCCCAAUAGUCCCACAUCGGAUGGGAAUGGGAUUGUCAUUCUCUUUAUAAGAGACUUAGACACUGGUAAUAAUAACUGGGCUUAAGCAUUUUGGGCCGGUGGUUGGGCCCAACGAGUUAUUAUUGCUAGCGGGCUGGGUCGUUACAUUUGUCAUGCCCCGGGGUCUCUUUUAGGCUAAAACACAGUGGAAAUUUUUUUUUUUCUUUUUGAAAACCUGACCUCAGGGUAUGCCAGAUCCGCCACAAAUACAGGAAAUCCACUGUUCACACGGACAGAGUCUCCCCUGUAUUUGCAUGGCGUCGCAUAAGUACAAGACGUAUAACCAGGAUACAACUACUACAAAUGAAUAUACAACAUUCAACCAUUUAUACAUUCAUACACCAUUCACCACAGAUUUACUUUCAGGGUUUAAUCAUAAAACCACAGCUAUCAGUUAAAACGUUUCCUACUCGGAAACAGGUUUUGAAAUACUAAGUUACAAAAACCACGAGAAAAUCUUUUAAAACUGUUUCCCACACGGAAACUCUUUUUUUUUUAAACACGCUACUACGAGGGGUAGAAAACCGUUUUUAUCUCAAAGAAAACCGUAAGUUCUUUAAUUCAUUUACUAAAAUCACAUUUAUUCAAUUGAACAAAAACCAACUGAACUAAUAUAUCUAAGAUAUAACAACAGAAAUAAAAAGAGUAGCAACUAAAUUAAACCAACCGGGUCGGAAGCUCUAUUGACCGCUGCGAACGUGUCUCACGUCUCGUCUCAACCCUCACCGUCCGCAAUACCUGAAAAAUGGUGGGGGAGGUGAGAACAUGUAAAUAUGUCUCCCCUCCCAGCGGGUACCGCAAGCCGACGAAGGCAAGGAGUACUCACCGAAUCAGGAAGAGAUAAACAAUAGUAUGGGUAAGUGAAAUACAGUAGCAAUGAUAAUAAACGAAUGAGAUAUAUAUAUAUAUAUAUAUAUAUAUAUAUAUAUAUAUAUAUAUAUAUAUAAAAGCACAACAACCGCUACUGUAAGGAAGAACUGAAUGCAUACAUGGAUAUUAACUAUAGUAGCAAGACAACUGUAAAGAAAGAACUGUAAGUAUGCAAGCAACAACCGCUAUUAUAGUCAUAUGCGUCAACCAGACGACAAGUCCAAAAAUACCCAAUCUGAAAACUACCCUAUUGGUCUGCAGACCUCAGGCCCAUGCCCACUGCCACUCUACCUGUAUAUAAUCCAGUUCUGACCGCUUGGCACCCAGUCCUGACCGCUGGGCUCAUAGGCUGCAUAUAAUCUAGUCUUGACCGCUGGGCUCACAGGUUGGCACAUCUAACCACUUUUCCGGAAAAGAACACCCUCUUGUGGUGGAUCAGACCGUUGGCGAUCGUGAAAUGCGAACGAGUCUCGGGCUAUCAAUGCUGAUAUGCUCAAUGGCCAACCGUCGGCAACCAGCCGACAAUCACUGCCCCUCGGGGCUAACCGACCAAUAGGUCAUCAAACUGUAAUGAAGCACAAGAAUAGACCACUCAGGUCAACUAGGAUGGAACAACUUGACAUCCUCUCAAAUGUAUGCAAGUACUGCUCAAUGUCAACUAAUAGUAUACUCAAGUACCGACCAAUAGGUCACACGAAUGUGACAUCAUGUAUCACUGAAAUCCAGAACUACCGUUAGCCACUAGCCGACAAUCCAACCCCUUAGGGUACACCGACCUCAACGGUCAUCGACGACAGAAGUCAAGGAGCCGACCGAAUAGGUCACAGAUACGAGAUACAACGAUCGACCAAUCAGGUCACGAAACAGAUGCAAUGCACUGACCGACUAGGUCACAGAUAGUCACGAAACCGCUCUACUGUAAACAUGAUAAAGGAUAUGUAAAACAGCUAAGUAGAGCAACAAGGAACAUGGUAUAGGUGCUAGGCUCAACAUAUAGUAUAAGCAUGUAUAACAACCAGGGAGUAAGGGUAAGAAACCAUCACCGAGCGUGCACCACUGUACCGACUUCGGAUCGAAGUACCUAUCUGUACAAAUGUCGCAUCUGUCUUCUGAUUGCGGAAGAAAGUAACCUGGACCUACGAAGGGUCCACCGUGUUAGUGUCUAACCCAUAACUAAUAACCACUGAAUCCACAACCCCAAAAACAAUCCCACGGAGAUCGGUUUCCUAAAAUCGAUUACUGUAACUCGCCGGAUGUCCCGAAAAUCGCAUCGGGACUCCGUCGGGACCGACAAACUGUCCCGGAACGCACCGACUCAUGCUACGAGUCACCCGCUGACACUAAACACCAUUAAUCAUGGGAUUUGGCGGCAAACACAAGGAUACAUAACCAAACAACUAUCGUCGGAUAAUUGUUCGGAUCCGGGUUCCCGGAAGUGUCAAUUUCGACACCGGAACCCACCGUCGCUCACCCGUCAUUUCCGAACUCUCGAGAUGACGCGGGUGACCAGCCAACAAGACUCAGCGACGCAACAAUUGCUAACAAGGCACUGUCGGCAGAAUUCCGAACAAAAACCGCAUUUCUUCGGUGGAUUUUGCCGACAAACGCACCGGAAAUGCAUUUCCGAUUUCUGCAAAGGUCUGGGGCCUUGGACAAUCAGUCCAGAGGUUACCCACUACUCACACGUGCUGCCAACAACAGCCGCGACAGACCAAAAAGCAUAAAAGCCUUUACUGAUAGAUGAAAUCACAUCAUUUUAUGUGAUUUCAGGGCUUUUAUGGUCCGUACACACAAACCAGGGAUCGAUUAGUCACAUCGUCGCACUCGCUGAUAGGUUUCAGCGUGCCGGAGGCCGUGCUCACCUUUCGGAGCACUGCCGGCCACUGUGACACACGCACGAGCGACGCGAAAACCUGUGAAACAGUGCGCACAUCGCUAAGGUUGCAAUUAAUGCACAAUCCAGGGCAUCUCUGUCCCUGUCGGAGGUGAGCACGAUGUUCAGCACGAGCUUUAGAUCAUCGUGCUCACUUCCCGAAGUCUAUAAGGCUUAUCGGAUCACCGGAAAGGUGACCGGAACCUCGGAAUUCAGUGCUGGAACAAAAAAACAGCCUUACCGGAGCCGGGUGGGCUAGGGUUGGUCGCCGACGGCCGGACGGCGGGCGGUCCGGCCAGGGGAGGGUGCGGACGGUCGGUGGGGUCCGGGGUACCCGCUGGCCCGCAGCUGGAGGUGGCCGGUGGCGUGGCGGCGGAGAUCAACUCCCCAAGGUUGCUCACGGGUUCAAGGGCGCCGGCAGCAAGGCGGCGGUCGGAGGAGCUCGAGGCGGCGACGGUUCGACGCCGGAGGCCGAGGGAGAGGCGGUGCACCCUUCGGUGGGCGGCGGCGGCGGCGCUUGGAAGUCGAGCGGACUCGACCUCGGCCCGCACGAGUCUGGGCGGCCGCAGGAGGUCCCAGCGGCGGCCGGCGGCGUGCGGGGACGGCUGGGGGUGCGCGCACGGGGUUGCCGGAGGUCGCNCGGGGGGGGUCCGGGGAUGGUGCUGGCCGGCGGCGGGUGGCACCCGGUGGCGCGGCGGUGGAGAUCCAACCCGCCUAGUUCCUCUCGGGUUCAAGGGCACCGGCGGCAAGGCGGCGACUGGAGGAGCUCGGGGUGGCGACGGUUCGACGCCGGAGGCCGAGGGAGAGGUAGUGCACUCGUCGGUGGGCGGCGGCGACGCUUGGAAGCCGAGGAGACUCGGCUUCGGCCCGCCCCAAAACUGGGCGGCUGCAGGGAAGCCGAGCGGCGGCCGGCGGCAUGCGGGGACGGCUGGGGGUGUGCGCACGGGGUUGCCGGAGGUCGCCGGGACCGACUGGAGGGCGGCGUGGCUGAAGGGGAGCGGUGGCCGCACGCGAAACCCGAGCUCGAGCCUGCUCGGUCUGGGCCGACCCGAGCUGGCCGCAGCUCACUUAGUUGGCUUUGGCGGAGCGCGCGCUGACGGCGGCAUCGUCCGGCGACGGUGCCGGAGGUUGGUCUCGGCCAGGGGAUGAUGGCGCUUGGACUUAGAUGACCGGUGGCCGGGGGCGCUCGCCGGCGGCCAGGGCAUGCGCACUGCACGGGCAGGGGGAAGCUAAGGGCGGCUGGUGGGCUAGGGUUAGCUGAGGUGACCUCGGGUUAGGGUUUUAGCUUGGAACCCUAGAUCAUGUAAUAUAUACAUGAUGCAAUCUUGCAUAAAACCCCCCUAGUCCAAUAGUUUUCGACCAAGCCCCCUGCCAGCAUGUGCACUUUGCGUAAAAGUCCCUUGACGUUCGAAUUUGCGCGAAACGUCGCAUAAAAUAUAGGGUCUUUUCGCGAUUAAUCAAUUUUGCCAAAUUGACCUCUCAGCGAUCAUUUCGCAAUUCCCGAAGAUCCGUCUGUCAGAUUUUCGAACGGAUUGCGCCAGCGCGUUCAGAACGACUGGGGCAUUGAAUCUAGCAUCUUGUUUCAUCUGAUUUGGUCUCCGAUUCACGACGAAAUCAACCCUCUUUGAUUCCACUAUAAGCCACAUAUAAAAACCAUAUAUAUAAAUCCAACCUCUUUCUCUCGAUAGCCGUGCCUCAGAUCUGAAAUCCGUCAGUGCCAUUAUUUCCAGAAUAGCUGAACCAUUCAAAACGAGCUAUUGGAUCGCUAUGAACGAAGUCCGAUACGCGCCGAAAGCCAACUCUACUUCGUGGCCUCUCCGGAAAACCGGAGUUACUAUUCACUUAAGUGAAUACUAAUGAUCGCGUAACUUCUCCGUUCUAACUCGUUUUCUCCUGAAACUUGAUGAGUGCUUAUGUAAUUAAAUUACACACAAAAACAUCAUCAACAGAGAGUUCAGCUACACUGCCAAAAUCUCUGUCCUUACACCGCUAUAGCAGAAUUACUAUGCUAUUGCUACGCUAUAACAUUUAGAACGAGAUUUAGCAGAGUGGAGUUGUUGCAGCUGCUUUAGCGGCGUUGGACCUGCUAAAGCAGAUGCUAUAAAGCGGGUCGAAUCGAAGUGGGUUCUAUGUGCCCAAAAGCGUGGAAAUUGCAAAUGGGUCAAACUGUCUUAUCGUGUCGGGUUUUGAAGUUAAAUAAAAUGAUCAAACACAGUAAAUUGGUUAAAGAUUUUAGAGUUUUUUUGUUUUUUUUUGGUUUGCUAAAUCAUAAUAUUUUGAAAAAAGAUAAUGGUUGUCUUUUCUUCUAAGUUAUAUGUAUUUUCUACAAGGAAUAUAGGCAGAUUAUAUGGUUUUUUGUGAAACCUGCCAUUUGGUUCGUAGCACGCACUAUGUAUGCGACCCCCCGAAGCGCUAUGUACCCGCUAUCCGCUAUUUAUAACCUUGGUCCUAUUGCCUAUGUGAUGCCUUCUUAUCUAUUUAAUUGCUUUAGCACUCCAGUGUUCUAUUUGUCGUAUUUGUACUUUUUCUGUGAAUUGAAUAUAUAUAUAUAUAUAUAUGUGUGUGUGUGUGUGUGUGUGUGUGUGUGUAGAGAGAGAGAGAGAGAGAGAGAGAGAGAGAGAGAGAAUUGAGCUCCUAUGCUUUUAAAAGUACCAAGUCAUUGGUGCUUGUAGGUUUUCCGCUCUUGGAUUAAGGGAUGUGCAGUUAGAAUGAUAGUAGCCCUCUAGGGUUGAGUGGAUUGUUGAUUGAAUAGUAUGAUCUAAUGGUGGAAAUGAUCAAAGGGGUAGAUCUAAUGACGAAAAACUUACAAGAACCAAGUGCUUGGUGCUUUUAAAAGCACCAUAGUUAGACUCUCUCUCUCUCUCUCUCUCUCUCUCUCUCUCUCUCUCUAUAUAUAUAUAUAUAUAUAUAUAUAUAUAUAUAUGUGAAUUUCAUUUUGAUGCCGAACAUGCUAAGAGUAGCUCUAUAUCUUUGGUUACUGUCAACUGUUAAAGCUCCUUACUUCCUUAGCAUUCUGUGUAACCCUACAUUUAAAGUUCGAGUUUUUGUAACCUUAAAUAUGAUUGCUCCAUUCUAUUCAAACAGUUUCAUUGAUUUUCUUUCUUUUGUUAUCGUAGUUUAUACUCUGAAGUACCUUUGUUAUCUAAAAUUCCGAUCAUACUUCUUCGGGCUUUCACUUGUCUACUGCCUAUGUUUUUAUAUUUUGCUGGUUAAAAUGCAGAUAUCAAUUUAUGACUUGCGUAUGUCCAAUCCCAUAAGAGUUAAGGAUCACAUGUGAGUUUUCAAUAUUUGCUUUGAUGGUGAUUAAUCAUAGUUUAUAUUCAUUUCUCUCUGGUCAUUGUUAAAGCUAUUUUGGUUAAUAAUUAUCUUGAUUGGAUUAUAGGUACGGUAGUCCAAUAUUGGGUAUCAAGUGGCAUCAGACUCUUAACUUCACCGAACCCAAGUUGAUUACUGCUGAUAGUCAUAUAGUCAGGAUUUGGGAUCCCAAUACAGUGAGUUCUUAUUUUUUCUGCCAAGAAAUCAAAGAUAUAUGUCUUUGCAUUUGUGAUAUGUGCAUUCAUUUAACUGUCCAUAUGCAUACCUGUAUUUUUGUACAGGUCAUGCUGAUACUAAAAGUUGUUAUUAAAUCAUUACUGCAGUCGGAAUGAAAUAACUAAUUCUGUCAGUCUUUCCUUAUUUUCAUACAUUUUGGAGUAGAUAUAUUAAUUUAGUGAUAUAGUUUUGUUACUCGUCUUAAUUUAUACUUUUGAUUUGCCUUAUCUGGACCUUAACUGUUAAUUAUCUAUGCUUAUGCUUACUAUGAUCAUUUUUUGGCGACACGGAAACAUUUGGUUUUCUUAAAAUGUAAAUGCAUGGGAAUACAUUAAUUUAAUGUUUAUGUAUUUGUUUCAUUCAUAUUGUAUUUAAAAACGUAGAUAAAGUAUAUUAUGCAAAUGAGUUGUGUAAUUAAUAAUUCAUGUGCUUCAUUCAUAUUGUAUUUAAAAACAGUAGAUAAAGUAUAUUAUGCAAAUGAGUUAUGUAAUUAAUAAUUCAUGUGCUUUCCUCAUAACAACCUUGCAAGUCCAGUUCGAGAAACCAAGUAACUAUAUUUGGUUUUUGGUGACUUUUACCUUUUCCGCAGGGCGAGAAUAUGACCAGUAUAGAACCAACCACUGGGAGCAUAAAUGACAUUUGCAUUUUUAAGAAUAGCGGUUUGAUGUUAUUGGCUUUAGACAGCAGUCAGAUACCGGCUUAUUUCAUUCCUGGAUUAGGUCCUGCUCCAAAGUGGUGCUCUUACCUUGAGAAUAUAACGGUGUGAUAGCUUAACAUUUACUCACUUUUUUUUGCAUUUUUUUUUUUUGCAUGCUUUUUAUUCAUUAACUGAAAAUUUGAUGUUCUUCUCUGUAGGAAGAGAUGGAAGAGAAUUCACAAACCACCAUAUAUGAUGAUUACAAAUUUUUGACUACAGAGGACCUUGAACGGUUGAAUUUGACAGACUUAAUUGGAACCAAUCUGUUAAGAGCGUACAUGCAUGGAUACUUUAUAGAUUACCGACUGUAUAAAAAGGUAACGCUGCUUUCUGCAAUUGUAGCGAAGACAUUUUUUUGGGGACCCAAGGCAAUCACAAAAAACAGAGAAACACUCUUUUACGAGCUACUUGAGGUUGCCAAAUGGGCCUGAAAUGUGUCUUAUUGGUUAACAGUAGUUUGCUUUAUUAGAAUACUUGAUUUUGUGAUGCUUAAAGCAUUUUCCUCUCUUUUCUCGGUGGUAUGUGCUUGACAGUAUGCAAAUCAUUCUACACUUGUGUCAUUGUAUGAUGUUGCAUUAUCAUGCGGUUGUGUUUAUUCUUUACCCUUUCCAUUUACAUUUCAUAUGACCAGUAACUCCACGGUUUUUAAUUAUUUUGGACAUCAACAUCUGGGUAGCAUAUAGCUCAUUACGUCCGCUGCAUAGCAGUGUGUGCAAACCAAGCAUUUUCAUUUGUGUGGGAAGUUUGGGUUCUUUACUAAGUUACCAACUUCUGUGUUUUUUGCAGGCGCAAGCUCUUGCCGAUCCAUUUGCAUAUGAAGUUUACAGAGAAAAGCAAAAGCAAGAGAAGAUGAAGGCAGAGCGGGACUCUCGUAUUACGGUUUGUUCCUUAUCCUUUUUCACCUUUCUUCUACCAACUUCAACUGACUAGUUGGUGAACCCCCUAUUAUGCGUAGCUGUAUAUAUGCGUUGUUUGUGCAGCUCAAAAGGAAGCUACCAAAAGUUAACAGGGAUCUUGCAGCUCGUCUGCUAAAAGAACAGGAGGCAGAAGAUCGUGAAGGGGAGAAUGCUGAUGAUGAGAAUAUGACAAAGAAGAAAAAGAAAAAUAAAGGAAUAAGCAGCGAUAUCUUGAAAGAUGAGCGUUUUGCAAUUUUGUUUGAGAAUAAGGUACUGUUGGCUUCCUACCUUCUUCAAAAGCUUUUCUGUUCCUACAGAAGUUCAUCAGAUUGAAAUUUACCCUCAAAAGGGUUUAUCUUAAGCUUUUCUUAUCCUACAGAAGUUCUCCUGAUAUAAGUUGCAAAAGCUCCUAAAAAACAUUGUUUAAGAUUUCAAUCGUCUGCCUAAAUUUUUGUUCUUUGCCUGCUUUCAGUGAUGACUGGUCAUGCUGUUUACUACUGAAUCACGAUAGAAUUUAGUUGACAUACAAAUUAAUGAAUUCGCUUGAUUGUGAUAUGGCGUUGAAUCUCUUGGUUGAGCUUAGUGUGAUUAAAAUGAAUUCUGUUGUUUACUUUCCACUUUCACCCUCGGCCAUGCUUAGAUUCCACAACAAUUAGAAUGUAAUGAAAUAACAGCAAAUUGGACCUCAAAUUAUCUAAUUUGCUUAUGCUCAUCAAAAUCUACUAAUGGAGUUUGGAAGUCAAUACAACAAUGAAGUACCAAAUGAGUGUUUUGAGGAAAAAUGGAAUGAAAUAGCACGGAAUUUGCCGAUUUAACUGUUGCCUCUGACAUGAGUUUUCUCAUUGCAAUUAAGUCGUUCACUGUACAUUAUCUUUCCAAUGCAGGACUUUGAAAUUGAUGAAGAGUCGCAAGAGUAUCUCUCUCUUCAUCCCCAAUCUUCUAUGAAGCAGCGAUCACUUAUUGAGGAACAUUUCGAACCUGUUAAAGAGGAUGAGGAGCAAAGCAAUUCUGAUGCAUCGAUGGAUUCUCAGACAAUGGAAGAUGACUCUGACAACGACAACAAUGAGUUGAAGAAUUCGAGGCGCAUGAGGUAUGGUUCUUAGCUCUUAGUAUGGUAAUGUGUUAGACCUUACUUACGCAUCCCUACUGAGAUGGUGAUUAUUUCCUGAUGGAUUGGAACCUUGGCAAUGCUUCUAUGGGAAACUCGGCAAUGCAGAAAAAUUGUAUAUAUGAGGUGUAUGGUUUUAAUUUGUAAGUGCAUGAGGGGCAUGCUUAGUAAGUAACUUCUACCUUUCCAGGUUGUAUGAAGUCAAGGAUGAACGGCACGCGGAGGCAUUCUUGAACCACGAGUCGCUCGCCAAGGAGGAUGCGCUUCCUCUCGGAGAGAGAGUUGCUUUAUUGAACGAGCGGCAACCGACAGGUGGCCUAAACGGCGUGAAGUUCGGGGCGGGCGGUUCCCGAGAAAUCUCGUUCCUUUCAAGAAGUUCAAAGAAGCAGCAGUACAGGGAUGAGGAGGGACCCAAAGAGGCAAAAAGGAGAGGGGUGCAAUCCCUAGGGUUGAAGCCGAGUAAAGCUGAAUUCUAUGCGAUGGGUGGACGUGGUGGUCGAGGCAAAAGCAGAGGGAAGAGGGGCCGGAGAUGAGACUUUGGUCGCGAGAACAAAUAUCAAACUAAGUAAUCAGGCCAAUGUAUACUACUGCUUGGUUCAGUGAGGAAUGAUCCACUGGAAGUAAAUUAAUUGUGGUUUGAUGUCCUCACCAGUUCAUAGAGUUUUGUACUUCUGUUUUUAGAGCAGGGAUAGCACAAAGAUAAUGUUAAUGUAGGAUAAUAUCUAAAGUGGCUAUGGCCUAAAAUUUUGGUAUUUAAGCUCUUAAUUAUGAGCUCAUAAUUUAUAAUUUAAUUGCUGUUUAUUUGCAUGCAUAGCAAGCUUUACUUUGUUUUUUUAAGUUGUUCUUUUUGGCCAUUUUCUCAUAUUAGUGUUUGGAUUAGAUGAAAUUAACAUGGCAAUUAACGGGUUUGCAUUAGAUGAAAUUAACAUGGCAACAAAAAUAAAGUUCGCCUGUAUGGUGAUCAAGUGUAUGCUAUUUUAGUAUUUUCAAGCGCAAAAGCUAUACUCAAUUUUAAAAUGGACCUCAUGUCCCAGGUUCCACUGAAAUUCGCUAAUAGAUCCGCCAUCUGUACGGGAAACCCCGCACAGGCGAAGCGACUAAUCUGCAGGAGUAAAGCAUGUACCAAUGCUAACAGAUAUAUCAGAGCUGAGUUGAAAUAAGACUAUUAAACAUCAACCAAAAAUGUAGUCCACUGUGCAUACAACUCCAACGGGUACAUGCAUUGCCAUCUCAACCAAGUUGAAAAUAAAUACAUGUAGAAUGCUACUGUCCUAAAACCAGCUAACCGGGGUAUUCCUCUAGCGCGGUCAGCAACAUUAGGAACGGAUUUAACUCGUGACUUCUUUUCCUCGUUCAGAAAUUACAAUCGAUGUAGAGGUUUCUACAAAAAGAACACCAACAGAGAGUGUGAGAACUACUACAAAGUAGUCCUUCGUGGGUAUCGUCAGGAAUGCCCACGAUUUAUUCACUAAGUCGAAUAGAGGCAUAAGUAAUCAUCUACUAUAAAAACAAAAAGUAAGACGAAAAAGAAACUCUACAGCUACUAUACCUCCAACCGACCAUACAAAUGACGGUGCCAAGGAAGAGAUACAUGCAUCAAUUCUCAAAUGGGGCUCCCAACCAACCCAAUCUCAUUGACUACCACAACAGGUCCCAUCAAGCCUGCGCCAACCUGCGACCACCCACCAUCCUCGAGAUGGCCGGAACUCGAACCUCAACAUCAUUGAGAUGGCUGAUCCAAAGAAGGUCCCUCUCAGGAUAGCAUCAACAGCAAUGCAUAAAUAGCCAAGCUCUGGAGGGGCACUCGGGGGAUGCGACUCCAUCGAGGAACAAACAUUAAUCAGUCGAGCUCAAUACGGCCCAUGUAGGCUAUAAUCAAUAUGAAUGAUCAACCAGAUCAAUGGGUUAACAAUCAACGUGCCUACGACACAAUCCGAAGUAAUACUCAUUAGUCCAGAUCCAUAGUCCAACCCCGAUGGCACCCAACAAAGCCCAUCAGCCUAAAGCUGCUAUACUAAUCCGUUCGGCUCCUAGCACGAGCGUAAACCGUCCCACACUAACCCGAAUGCCCACAACCCUCUAACCAGGGUGACAGAUAGGUGAUAGGUCAAAACAACUACUAUCCAAGCAUACUAAUAAUGGCAACAUCGGUCAACAUAGUGUAGGGUAAACAUGCAUAAAUCAGACUAUAGAGAAUAAUCCUUCAAUAUCAUACUAGUCAUCCAACAGGAUGCCAACUACAACAAUAGCUCCAAGUCCACAUGAUUCUCAACUAGUGUCGAUUAAAUUAACUCAUGAAUCUUACAUGCUAUACAGAUAACCGACAUUGAAAUAAACAUGGUGGACAGAAAAGGGAGCUCAAAGGGUGGAAUGAAACUGCUGGAUAGUCUGGGUUACAAUUUGACCAGUCGAAUCAGUAGAUUUAAUCUGAUUUUUAAAUGAUUGAUACUAAUUUAAUAUACUGUAUAAAUUAUUGAUACUAACCCAAAGUUUCUAUAUACUGUUUAAAAUCCGUCAGAUUUGGAUGCAAGUUUUGAGAUUGAUAGUCAGGUUCGGAUUUAGAUUUUUGAAAAAUCUGCCCAAAUUUGACUUGUCGACAUCGCUUACAAUUACUUUUUUACCACAAACCUUUUUAAUUUUUACAUUUAAAAUAUUUAUUUUCUUUGACGGUUAAAGUAUCAUUAUAUUUUAAAACAUUUAUUAUCUCUAAUGGUUCAAAACUAAUAUUAAUCUCAUUCAGUUCAAAGGAUUAAACCGAGUGCUUGAUAGAUUGGAGUACGAUCUGAUUGGUCGAACUAACCGGUGCGAUUUGAUUUUAAAAUUAUUGAUACUUAGUUAAAAUAAAUAAUAAUAGUUAGGAAACUAAUUGCAAACAAAAAGGUAAGGAACUAAAAUUUUAAAAAUUGACUAAAAAUUGAAAAAAUUUAAAGGUAAAAAUCAAAACCAACUUAAUAAAUCAAAUCAAUUAGACUGAUCAAAUUGGUAAAAUAUACAAGUAGUUUAGAUUUGUUCCCAGCAGAUUCGUUUAAUUUAUCUAUAGUCCUAAUUUUAUUUACUUUAUUAAAACUCUAUAGUGGAGAUUUAUUAUAAAGUUAAAAUUUAAAUUGUAUAGUCUAUAUUUAUUCAGUCGUUAGUUUAAAUUGCAUUAUACUGUUUAGACUUAUAGUGGGUUUCUACAUACUGUUUAGAUUCUAGACUUCAAAUUUAUUUUCAGUUUAAAUUCUAAUACAUAAUCUCAUUAUUUUUAAAAGAUGAAUUUUUUACUAUUAAAAUUUGAAUUAGAUUAGCCCUCAAAAUUCUAUUUUGAAAAUAAAUUUGAAUUAUAUCCUAUAUUCCUAUUAAAUUUUAAAUAUUUAACCACAUUCAAAUCUUUUAAAAUAUUGAUACAAAUUUAAUGUCUAAAUUAUAGGAAUUCUAAAAUUCCUUAAUCAUAUUAAAUAUGUUGAAUUUAAAUAUUUACACACUUUUAAAUUUUUUUAAAUGGCAAUACAAAAUUAAUGUCUAAAUUAGAGGAAUUAAAAAAUUCCUUAAAGAUAUUAAAUGUAUUGAAUUUAAAUAUUUACCAACAUUCAAAAAUUUUUAAAUAGUAAUACAAAAUUAAUGUCUAAAUUAGACGAAUUUUAAAAUUUCUUAAACAUAAUAUUUAUAUUGGCUUUGAAUGUUUACCCAUUUUCAAUUUUUUUUAGAUAUUGAUAUAAAAAUAAUGCUUAAAUUGUAAUUCUAUAAUUUCUCAAAUGAAUGGCUAAAUUAAUGACUAAAUUAAUUAAUGCCUAAAUUUGUGAAAGGGGUAUCAAUUAAAAUUUUUUAAAACUUUUGUGAUGUUUAAUUACGAAAAUACUCUCGACAUUAAAUUAUCUUUUAAUCUGGAUAAGGAUAAAAUGACACUUUUAUUUUCUAUUGAUCAACACUUAAGGAUUUUUUUUAUUUUAUUUAUAACAUUAAGUACAGAAUUACUUCUCUUUUUAUUAUUAAUUUAUAUUUAUAUUUUAACGAUAAUUAUUUUUAAUUAUAUAUAUAUUUUUUUAUCGAAUAAUAAUUUUUAUGUUAAAUAUAUUUAUUUUGAGCCAAAUGCGAUUCUAAUCCUAUCCUUAACCGUAACCCUAACCCUAACCCUAACCCAACCCGAUCGAUCCCCCUCGACCGCUCCGAGCUCGAGCCUUUCCCUCUCUUACACGUCUACUCAGCCCCCCUCUCCUUCACCUCUACGCGAGCUCUCCGCGUCCUCUCCGAGGUCAGCUUUGGCCCCCGACCUUCUCGACCCCGCGUGGGCGAUCCUCGACACGGCGAUUUGAUCCGAGCCCUCGGCGGUGCCGCUUGUCGAUUCGGUGCUCCGAUCCAUUGGUAAGAGUUCUCAAUCUCAGAUCCUUAGUUUCGUCCUUGAAUCGACAAACCCCCCUUUUUUUUUUUUUUCCCUGAUCUCAUUUGGUUUUGCUGUGAAUUUGUAAUUAUAUGUAGUUUUUCAUAUAAUGGAAAACUAGAUAUAUCAAACUAAGAAAACAGGAAAUGUAUGCUACUAGGUUCAGUGAGGAAUGAUCCACUGGAAGUAAAUUAAUUGUGGUUUGAUGUCCUCACCAGUUCAUAGAGUUUUGUACUUCUGUUUUUUAGAGCAGGGAUAGCACAAAGAUGAUAUUAAUAUAGGAUAAUAUCUAAAGAGGCCAUGGCCUAAAAUUUUUCUAUUUAAGCUCUUAAUUGUGAGCUCAUAAUAAUGUAUAAUUUAAUUGCUGUUUAUUUGCAUAGCAAGCUUUAUUUUGUUUUUUAAGUUGUUCUUUUUGGCUAUUUUUCUCAUAUUAGUGUUUGUAUUGAAGUGAAUUUUGUGUCGGGCUUGCACUAGAUGAAAUUUACAUAGCAACAAAAAUGUAUGGAUAUCAACUGUAUGCUACUUUAGUAUUUUCAAGUGCAAAAGCUAUAUGCAAUUUUAAAACGGACCUUUUAGUUCAUUUUUUGGUACCACUUUGUGUUAUUUUAAUUUAAUUGAGAAUUUUCUGAAGUGUUUCGGUAGUUAAACUGAGAAUUUUGUGAAGUUUAAUGGGGAUUUUGUUAAAUCUAAUGCUCGUAACCUGUUUUUAGUGGGGGUGCUUGAUUUAACGUAAAAUUCUAGAAAAUAAUAUUUUUAAAACAUAACUUUUUCACGUACGAUAGUUUUUGCCCGUUUGUAAAAUUGUUGAAAAUAAUCGUUCAAGUUUUGGAUUAACUACUUAUGUGUCCUCAUAAUUCAUAUGCCAAUGAAUUUGCACAUUUAUCCUACAAAGUUUUAGUUAUUAAUUAUUGUUAUUUAAAGUUGCAUCUUUUGCAAAUAUAUUCAUGUCCAUCACUUAAUCAAUUAAAGCUGACUUUUUUUUUUUUUUACCAAAUAAUAAUCCAAAUUUUUGAUAAUAUGUUUUUAAUUAUAUUUAAUAUUCUUUAUCCAUGUUGAUGUUUUUAUUUAAACUUUGUGUAAUUUUACAUGAAUCAUAAAUUAUAUAUUCUAAACAGAUUUUACUGAACCUAUAUUUUGAUCAGAGCAUAACAGUCUAAAUGGAAAAAAUUUACGACCAACUAGCAAUAACUUGUAGGAAUAAAUUUGAAUAUUUUGGAGUUUUAGACAGAUAAAUUUAAUAAUUUAAUAUAUCCAUAAUUUAAAAUUUUAUAAGUAUACAUGCAAAACUAUCCCUUACUUUUAAUCCUUUUAUAAGGAUACAUGUAAAAUUAUCCCUUAAUUUGUAAUCAUAUUAUGAGGAUACAUGUAAAAUUAUCCGUUUUUAAUUAUUUUGAUUUCAUUUUCUUUUCUAAAUUGAGAGGACUUGUUUAGGCUAUCGGCCGUUGACAACUAAUAAAAGUUAGGCCAUGUUUGGAUGCAUGAAUAUCUUAUUUCGGAUAUAUUUUUGAUUUACUCAAGAAGUUGUGCGGUUUUAUACGGAUGGAUGAAUACUUUGUUCGAUAUACCUUCAUAAUUUACUUAAGAAGCUUCUAUAUUUGAUAGAUGAGAAGUGUAAUUAAAGUCUAGAAUUGGAUACAAUAUUUGGCCUUCAAGUCGUUUUCUUAUAUAUACUAUCCUAUUAAAUUAUGGAUGUGAAAACCUUUCAAUGAGCAAAAAAUCGUACUCCUUUUUUACAAUCGCAGUAGAAAAUCCUUAUACUGAAUAAGUUAUCCUUGAAUAACUUAUUCCAACUUGCAAACAAGAUCGUAGUAUUUAGUACAUGAGAAAUAUAAUUAAACAUCUUGAAUGGAGUAAUAUAUUCUACUUUCUAGUCAAUUUUUCAGAAUAAGAUGAGUCAUCUUGUAAGUGAGAUAUGCUAUUCUACUAAAUCAUAGAUGAUAAGACCUUUCGAUGAGCAAAAAUUAAAUCUUUUGCUUCCAAUCACAUAAGAAAAAUUUCAUGCCGAAUAAGUUAUUUAACGAUAACUUUUUCCAACAUCCAAAUAGGGCCAUACACCCUAUUUAAAUAAAUGAAUAUCUUAUUUGGUAUAUUCCUCCAAAUAGGGCCAAAGACCCUGUUUGAAUACAUGGGUAUUUUAUUUGUUAUAUUCCUUCAAUUUAGUCAAGAAGUGUGCGGUGUUUGGUAGAUGAAAAGUGUGAUAAAUGUCUAGAAUGGAUACGAUAUGCUUCUUCAAGCCAUAUUUUUUAGAAUAAGAUAAAUCACCUAAAUUAGAUGUAAUAUGGUAUUCUAAUAAAUCAUUGAUGCGAAGAUCUUUCAGAAAGUAAAAAAUUAAACUCCUAUGUUUACACACAAAUUUUUUUAUACAGAAUUAGUUAUCAUUGCAUAUCUAAUUUCGACGUCCAAAGAUAGCUUUACAAAUCCUAUUGAAAAUUUCUCAAUUUUUUUUAAUAUACUUAACAAAACUAAAUUAGUGAAGGGGUUAAAUUAGUCUAAACUGGGCUAAACUGGGCUGUUGUGGCACCCAAUUUCGGCCCUUCACCUAAACCCCAAAAUGGAGUCGUCCGAAUCCAAACUCCACACCCUGCUCCCUUCCUCGCACAUUUUAUUUCUCUCUCUCUCUCUCUUCCAAGCUCCCUCCGAUCCAUCUAUUCCCUUCCUCGAAUUGAUUCUUCUUCUCUCCAUCUUUGAUUUUUCUUGGAACAGACUGGUAUCCCUCUAAAUGUGUGGAUAUAAUAUUAAUAUAUGCAUCAUUUUGCAGAUUUAUUUGCUUUUUUUUUGUUUUUUGGAUGGAGUUGUGCUAUGCUGCAAUUAUUGGAGAUCUUAAAUGAUAUAUAAUGGAAUUUCCUCAAGUGUUAUAAAACUGGGCAUUGGAAUCUUGAGUUGUUUGUGGAAAUUUGAUUGGUUCUAUACAGUAGAAUUUCGACAUGAAAUAGUAUAGGAGUGUAUGGUGGAUUGCUCGCAACCAAAAACAAAAAACUUGGAAGCAACCAUUCUUUUUCUUUUUUGCUCUUUUUUUUUAAGUUGUCAUUCAUCAACAAGCCAAGGUGGUAUAUUCAAUUAUAUAGAUGUUGGUGUUUAAGAAAUUAAUUAAUGCAAUGAUGCCAAACAAGGCCUAAGUUUUGCUUUCUUUUGAUUGACUUGCCCUCAUCUUCUAAUUUUUUUUUUGUUGAUUGAGUUGUUCCUGUUAGUUAAGUUUAGGAUUUUGUCGAAUUUUUAUGUUAACUCUUGCAGUUACAUUUGCUGUAAAAUGAUUAGAGUUAUUAAACUUAAUGGAGUGAUCGUUGGGUUUAGUGAAUCUCCUGUUUAUCUGACUAAAACUGCUCGAAUAAAACAAAAAAAAAAAAUCAAAAGUUGAGGGGUUGUAAAUAAAAGAAAAAAAGAUAAAAGCUGAGGGGGACAUUUCAAACUAUCCUGUAGCUGAGGGGGUUGCUUUUUUGUCUUUAUCAAUUAUAUUUAUGAUUCAUCUUCUUUCAUGCUCUUGUUUGGUACUAGAUUGUUCUGGUUCUUUAGUUUCACUAGCCUCUUGCUUUUGCACUUGCAAGAUUAUGCUAAUUUUUACGAUAGCAACCCAUGAUACACCAAAUCAAGUAGAUUGUAUUUAAAUCUUGAUGAGAAACGAGGAAUGUCUCUUCAAAAAUAGUUGUUUUUUGUUAAGCUGUUCUGUUGGAGAUAUUGUACUAGCUUUCAAAUAUUGUUCUCUACAAACACAUUAGGUUGGUUAUCUUGCAAUUAUUGACAUGAUGCUCCACACCAUGACAUCUACUCUUAAGGCCUGUUUGGCCAGACAAGAGCGUUUACAAGAAGUGUUGUUAAGUAGAGCUGUACUUAGGCCACAGUUGGAAUGCUUUCAUACACCACGCAUCCCCCAAUCAAAACCCAAAAAAAGUACUUUAGAAUUACACUAUUCUGAUGCUAUGAGAUAGUUUUGGGAAGCUUAAGCAUCCACUCCUCUAGUGUUACAAAGUAGCACUGGAAACUCCACUAGAGAAGCACUAGGAUCCCCCACUGGAAGUUCCCACUGCCAUUAUGUAAGUUUCCAGCUCUAUACUAUUUUCAGACUUUUCUGGAGCUAUAAAGCAUCAAAGAGGUUUCGUUAGGAGAAGCAUUUGCAAACGUAUCCUUAGUAGCUUAACAGCUUCGUAACUGAAGUCUUCCCAACAGUUUCCCUUUGAAGCUCGAUGCAAAUGAAGUUGAAUCAGAUUUUGAACUUUUUAAGGCCCAGAAGCUGAUUCUGCUUUCCGCUAUAGCCAAGAGUUGCAUAUUUUCAUGUUUGCCAAAUGUUUGACUUCCUUCUCGAGUUGAGAAUCUAGUCCAAAAGCCAGGUGACAGAUGCACCUAGCAAGAGAAGCAGUACAGAUCUUAAUUCCUUGGUGGAAUAAACUAUUGCUUUAGAAAGUUUUGUACAUAUAGUUUUGUUUUUUUAUGUUAUGAGCACCCUGAUUGAAAAGCAUUACAGAUGUCAACUGCUAGGCGAAAGCAAUUGCUUUAGAGAGCCUCUUAUAUGUAGUUUUCCACAUAAUGGAUAGCCUGAUUGAUUUUCUUGUAUUUUGCAUCAGAUAUUGGGUAUCUCAUCAUGCUUUUGUCAAGGGUUCUUAGGAGAACAUUAUGUUCUGCUGCUAAAUCAGAAACUUCGGCCGCUGCAGCCGCAACAUCAGCAUCGGCUAAGACAGCAAAUAAUCCUCUUGAGCAAUUUUUUGAGGUGGACAGAAGCACCGAUGAGGAGAAACCUGUCAUCUACGGUACAGCUCUGACCUCUUCCUUGAUCGGAAUGGUAGAAUACUAUAGUUCUGUAUGUGCCAUAAUAUUAUCGAAAGGAUUUGUUGUCUUUUCUACUAAAGGGAUAUUGGAAAUAAUUUGUUCCCGUAGUUGGUAGAUGCAGUUAAUACCACAGAAGAAAGAACAUCUAAUUAAUCUUUACAUUGUUCUAUUUUGCAAGUAAUUUUUUCUUUUUUUUUUGGCAUAGUAUAUAGAGCCUAGAGUACCGGUAUUUUUUUGUAAUUAUUUAACUUAAAAGUCUCCUUUCUGUGAAUAUUUAGUUAAUGAGUAUUUAGUUCUUGGUUUUAAAUGGAUUUUAUGUAACAAGAUAUCUUUCUGGUGCAUCUCUUUGCAUCAUAUUUUAGAUACUUCUUAUAUGUAUGUACCAUUCAUGGUAGUAAUUUUAGCAGUAACACCUCCAAAUCUCCAACAGGUGUUGUUGAUGAAUAAUUUCUUGAGUUUAAGUAUUGUCAUCGCAUAAUUGAUAAUGAAGUACAAAUUAGUCAUAUAGACUUGUCAUAAAUUGCUAGUUUUGCACACCGUUUCCUUGUCUUUCUAUCUACAUAGCAUAAAUUUUGUUUUCUCUUAAUCUAAAUAAAUUUAUAUCAUAUAUCACAUGCUGUCCUUACGCGAAGAAGAAUGUACAAUUUUUUUAGAAUUACAGUUUCUUCUAUCAGUCAUAGUAGCAAGAUUUAACUAUACAAAGAUUCCCUUAUUGUCUAGUUCCAGUAAAAUUGUAGUCUGAAUUGGAGGUGUUCGGCAAUUUGUCUUAUAUAUAACUGUUAUAAAAAGAUAGAGGACCAGGACAAUGCAUUAGCCCCUGCUGCCUCAGGUUCAUCAUGGUCAUACCACAUAUUCUUGGAGGGUGGAGUGGCUUCAUUGGUCACAUUGCAAUUAUGACAUGCUGCCGUAAGCCUUUCAUUAAACAAAAAAGAAAAGUUAAAAUGUAUAGACAUCUCCUGAACUGUACUGCAAUUUGAAAUUGACCCCUGAUCUUUUUUUAUUUGAUUUACACCCCCUGAACUUUAGCUCGAUUUGAAAUUGACACCUGAUUUUUUUUUGUUUGAUUUACGCCCCCUUUACUUGAAGCUUGAUUUAGGUCGUUCCCUUAGCAAUUUUGGGGUUUAUUAUUUAUUUGGAUUUUUUUUUUUUUGAUAAGCCGAUAAAUAAGUGCAAUAUUUUAGAGGAAGAAGGGUCAUUGACUUUGUAAAUACGAUUUUCGCUCAAAUUCUAAUAUAUUUUAAUAUUCUUCAGCAUUCUAACUUGUAAUCUACUAUUUUAUUGUCUUUGUAUUUGUUUAUUGUAAUUAAAACAUGGCGAUCAACAUUAAGCUACAAAUCUAUUUUAUUCGUUGUGCAUUUCACUGGCCUUUUGAUUCUAACAGAAUUUUAAAAAUUACCAAGGGAAGGGCUUAAAUCAAACUUAAGUAAAGGGGUAAAUCAAAUAAAAAAAAGUUCAGGGGUCAAUUUCAAAUUAACUUCAGGGAUGUAUAUCAAAAAAAUAAAAGUUCAGGAGUCACUUUCAAAUCGAGCUAAAGUUCAAGGGGUGUAUAUACAUUUUAACCAAAAAAAAAACUUAAAGCCUGGCAGACAAUUGUCUUAAUUAUUCAUUGGAGUAGAUGUGAUUUUAUUUAAUGCAAAGAUUUUAGAUGAACAAUGGUAAAAAUUUAUUUACAGGGGAAGGAGCUGCUCCUAGGAGUAGUUUCUCCUUCAAGUAAUUUCUGGGAAGAUGGUUAUUAACAUCGUCGUACUAGGAAGUGGAAGUACGAGUUCAUUAUGAAAGUAGCUUCUAAGUUGCUUUGCACUUUGUAGAAUGACGGAAAAACAUGAGAUGCCCAUAUAUCUUGGAUUAAGCUGAGGCUUGAAUUGGCACUACUUGAAGCAAGUAAAACGACGAAUAUUAUGUGCAAUAUGAGAAAUUUGGAUAUUAGCUUGCUACCAAAACUCUGAUGGAUGAAAAAAGCUUCAGUCUUUCUCUUUAAUGCAUUUAUAUUGACAACCCAAUUUAUCUUAUUUGCGCAUUUUGUUCUCAACUUUUCACAAGUCAGCAUUGAGAUAUUAGCAGCUUUGUGCAUCUAAGUGAUGCUACUUAUUUCAAAAGGCAUUGACAACUUCUGUAUGAUUGUCUCGGUGUCUCCUAACUUUACCUAAACGUAUGGGUAGAUUUGUAAAAUCUAGAUUGAUUAAAUAAUGCUAGUCAACCAGGAGAUGAUAGAUGUUUUACUAAGACGCUAUCGAGAAUUGCCCGUGUUGCCCCGUGCUGAGCAUGCUGUAAUGUACUGAGGCCAUUCCGCAAUGUUGCACAGGUCGUGCCGAUUCCAUAUCGAAAAAAUUAUUUUUUCAUGAGUUUUUUAGGAUCUUUGUUGAGAUUUUUUGAGAUGAAAAGGUUUAGAAAGGUUUUUUCAUACUUAAAAUACGUAAAUCUUGUAGAUUUACUAACAUUUAGAGAAAUUAUUGAGUUUCAUUGCAUAAUGCAGCUAAAUUUAGCUGGAAAAUACAAAUUGGUAAUGUUUUUUAAAUCAUUUUAGAUCUAGCCUAUAUUAGUGUCUUCCUAUGAAAUUUUACCCACUUAUAACUUUGAUUUUUGUUUUUAUGCUUGUACUUCAUAAUAUUACUUCGGUUAUUAAGAUGCUUAUUCCUUUAUUCUUACUGAAAUAUAAGAGAUAUGCUAUCUAAUCCUUUUUUAUUGCCUUAAAAACGUUAAUGCACUCUAACAUACUAUUUUGUUUUUAUGAAAUGUUGAUUGAAAAACCCGUGCCAACGUGUACCCGUAUGCCACUGUCAUGGAUAGCCAUGCCGACAUUGGCACGGGGCGUGCUGCCGUGCUGAUGGCACACCAGCACUCCCCGUGCCACUGGCAUGGGAAUUCUUGGACAUAAUAUUGUGGCUAUGUUUUCAUUGUAUGAUGGGAUUAUAUUUUUGUUAGAGAAAGUUCUAGAAUUUUCUUGCAUUGCAAAUAGUGAGUGGACUUCGGUGAAAACAAUCCACGUCUUCUUAUUGCAAUGAUCUGCUGAGCAUUUCUACAUUAUACCUAUUGUGGAUAUGUUAUCUGCAAUUUGUUUGGAACUUCAUGUUUUUCCUGUUAUCAGUUUCACAAUUUGUUACAUUGGCAGCCGAGCUGCUUAAUCUGAAUCACACUGUGCUCAAAGAAAUUUAUUUCAGGUCGUGGCUGGAAGGCUUCGGAAUUACGUUUUAAGUCUUGGGAUGAUCUUCACAAGCUAUGGUAUGUCCUCUUGAAAGAGAAGAACAUGCUUAUGACCCAACGCCAGAUGCUCCAUGCGCAAAAUCUGCGGUUUCCUAAUCCAGAACGCGUUCCUAAGGUACGCUAUUCAUCCCUAUACAGCCUGCUUGAGUGUAUGAACAACAUGUUCAGAUAUCUCUUAUCAUUACUAAAUGAUCUUGUGGUAAUUGGUGAUAAUGCAUUCCUAGUAAUUUUAGUCAUUAUCCCUGGAGUUUAAUCCUUCCAAGUAUUCUAACUCUCUCUUCUAUCUGCAUCACCGCCAUUGCUAUGGUGUACGGUCAAUCUGAACAGGACCUGGAGCAGCACUUUCCCUCGAGUGUUUAUCUCUGCUUUCUUUGAAACAUCAUUCCAUCAUUCUUUGAAUUCUUUGACCCUGUUUGCCUUUCCUCCUUUCCUCAUUUACUCGACAGAUCACUGAAAUCAGAAAAAGUUAAGCAACUAGGCCUGAUGAUUAGUUCCAUUUACCAAACUUUGAAUUUCUGACAAAAUUCCAUGGUUUCUUCCUCAGUUCCUAAUAAUUUUGCAUCCUAAUAAAAUAUGAUUGAGUAGGUAAUUGAAACAUUGUUUCUGUUGCCAUUUCUAAUUAAGAAUUAGACGGAACAUGCGAUUACUUGCUUUAGUUGCGUAUGAACCAAGCAGCUAUUUUCAUACAUCAUUGUGUUUACUGUUAGAAAGUUAAGGUUCAAUAAGGCAACAAACUAAAGUUGUCUGAUAAUGUAAGAACUGUCGCUUUGUUUCAUUUCUGUUUUAUGAUGCUCCAUUCUCUGUGAAUUGUUGUCUUCUUGUUCAUUUUCGGCAAGAGCAGUAAAAUGUAGUGUUUAAAGAGAUCUUUCUAGCUAUCUAAAACAUCUAUGGAGUGAUAUAGUUUUGUGAGUUCUUUCUUUUGUUGUUCUAAUGGCUAUGCUUGUUUUGUUGGUCUUCUUGUGAAGAUUAUUUAGAAGGAACAAAUUUAACAGUUUGCUGUAUUGUGAUCACAAUUCCACCUCGUAAGGGUUUUCUUCCUGGUUGAUUACUUGGAUUGAUCACUUUAGUUUGCUGACCUAGGAUCCAGCUCGAAAUAUAAGGUCUAGUUUCCUCUAGUUGUUUGAGUUGUGAUUGUUCCUAAUCUGAUUUUCCUCCCUUGCACAUCACGAUUUUCGCGACUGAUUUAUCAUCUCUUAGGCUUUUUUUUAAUGCUAAAGAAAGAUACAACAGUGUUGAUUUGCGUUCUUUCAUAAAUUGCAGGUGAGGAAAUCGAUGUGCCGGAUCAAGCAUGUCUUGACCGAGAGAGCAAUUGCCGAGCCUGAUCCUAGGAGGUCUGCGGAGAUGAAGAGGAUGAUUAAUGCGCUUUGAUAUCCUUCGGGAACCCAACCCACUUUAAAUCUUAACUUAGAUUCAGAUAUGUCUUCUGUUGUUUGUACAUUUGCCUGAAGUUAACGACUACUCUCGUGAAUCGCAUGUGUUUGGGACUCAGAAUAUAUUUUUGGAAAUGCUUGUUAUGGAAAAUUUGAACCAAAAUAAACUCGACGCCUUCUCAGAUAUCUGUUCUAUCUACUUUUAGCAGUCUAGCACCAAAAUAAAUCGACGCUUCCGAAUCGACGAUCUACACCGUUAAACGUUAUCUAGAGCAUUUAAAAUGUUUAAAAAUUAAAUUUUAUAAUUUUUUGACAUCAUUUACCUUACGAUCAAAAGGUUACAAGAUUGACAAUUUUUAAUGGCCGGUAUGGAAUAUUUGCAGUUUAACGGUGUAAAAAAAUCGAAAUCAGUUGAAUUUUUGAUAGAAAAUUCUAUUCACUACAUAAAUAAAGAUCAAUAACUUCAAUCUUAAAUUGAAGGAUCCGAACAUUUAUUUUUAAGACGUUGUUCGAUUUUAACCUUUCCUUUAUACCUGCUUGAUGAAUUUUAUUAUGAUUUCGAAAAAUUAUAAAAUUUAUUUUUAAAAAGUUUCAAAUACUCUAGAUUAUAUUUAACGGAGUGGAUCGUCGAUUCGGAAGCUCUAUCAUCGAAACCAACUUAUGAGUACGAAGGCGAUCGCACUCAUAAGAGUAUAGUAGCCUCUAUAUAUAUAUAUAUAUAUAUAUAUAUAUAUAUAUAUAUAGAACUAGGCUGGAAUACUAUCAAUAGCACCAAGCAAUUGAUGCUAUUAGUUUUUUAGCCCUUGGAUUGAGAAAUGUGUGGUUAGGAUGAUGUGGGUCUCGUAGGGUUGAGUCAGUGGUUGGUUUAAUAGUAUAAUCUAACAGAUAAAAAUAAUCAAAGGGUUAAAUCUAGUGAUGGAAAACUCGAUAGCACCAAAUCCUUGGUGCUAUCUAUAGUAUCCCAGUCGGAUUCUAUAUAUAUAUAUAAAUUAGGGCUACUGUGCUAUUAGGAGCACAGCAGCCCUUAUACUUUUAACCUCCUAACCAUUUAUUAAUUUUGAUGGGUGGUUAGGAUGAGAAAGAAAAGAAAAAUUGGUGAGAAAUUCAAAGAGAAGAGAAUUUGAGACACAAUUUUUCCUCAAUUUCUCUUCUCUCUCUUUCACCUUGAUGGAUGCAUGGUUAGGAGGUAAGUAGCACAAGAGUUGCUAUGCUCCUAAUAGUACAGUAGCACUGCUAUAUAGAGUCCUGCAACUAUACUCUUAUGAGUAAGAUCGCUUUCAUACUCAUAAAUUAUUUUUGAUGAUAGAACUUCCGAAUCGACGAUCCACAUCGUUAAACGUUAUCUGGAGCAUUUAAAACGUUUAGAAAUUAUAUUUUAUAAUUUUUCGACAUCAUUUACCUUACGAUCAAAAGGUUACAAAAUUGACAAUUUUUAACGGCCGGUAUGAGAUAUUUGCUAGUUUAACGGUGUAAAAGAAUCGAAAUUAGUUGAAUUUCUGAUAGAAAAUUCUAUUAACUAUAUAGAUAAAGUUCAAUAACUCCGAUCUUAAAUUGAAGGAUCCGAUCAUCUAUUUUUAAAACGUCGUUCGAUUUUGUCCGUUCAUUUUAUACCCACUUGAUGAACUUUAUUCUAAUUUUGAAAAAUUACGAAAUUUAUUUUUUAGAAGUUCCAAAUACUCAUCAUAUUUAACAUGGUGAAUCGUCGAUUCGGAAGCUUCAAAAUAACUUAUGAAUACGAAGUGCUCUAUACUCAUAAGAGUAUAGUAGCCCUAGCCCUGCUAUAUAUAUAUAUAGAGUUGAGCUAGAAUACUAUCGAUAGCAAAUGGGCUCUAUUGCCAUACAUUUGUUUUUGAUGAUGGAGCCUCCAAAUCGACAAUCAACACCGUUGAAUAUGAUCUAUAUCACAUGAAGUGUUUAGAAAUCAAAUUUCAUACAUUUUCGAUAUUGUUCUCUUAUCCAUCGAGUGGACACAAAAAUAAACGGUUGAAAAUGAAUAUUCUUUAAAAAAUGAUGAUAGGAGUCUUGAAAUUAAGAUCAAGAGUAUAGAUCUUGUUUUAUAUAGUUUAAAAAAUUUUCUAACAAAAAAUCAAUUGGUUUGGAUAUUUUUACACCGUUAAACGAGAAAACGCCUUAUAUUGAUCAUUAAAAUUACAAAUUUUGAAAUCUUUUGAUCAUUAAGCAAAUGAUGUCGAAAAGAUUUGAAAUUUGAUUUCUAAACACUUUAACUGGUAUAGAUUAUGUUCAACGGUACCGAUCGUCGAUUUGUAGGCUCUAUUAUUGAAAAUAAAUUGGUGGCAACGGAGCCCAUUUGCUAUCGAUAGUAUUCUAGCUCAACUAUAUAUAUAUAUAUAUAUAUAUAUAUAUAUAUAUAUAUAUAAUACAAAAUGAAUUUGGGUUUGGGUUCGGGUCGGGUACAAUCAAAAUUCAUAUUCGAAUUCAUAUCCGUCGGAUUUCUAUUUUUGAUAUCUAUAUCCGAAUUCAUAUUCAUAUCCAUCUAUCUGAUAUAUCCGUUUUAUUCGGGUUUGGGUUGGGGUAAAAUUUUGGGUAUCCAUACCCGUUGAGAUCCGUAGCAUCCUGUGGUUCUUCUCCUGCCGGAUCGGGUGGUGAUGCCGACGACCGACCCAUUAUUGACCAAACUCAUACUCUAUUGAUCUUCUUUCCCCCAUCCCUGUCGUUCGCCCGAUGCCCUAGAUCCUCCCCCGUGUCCUCCGCUGCUUCUCUUCCUCCUCCCAGUCCCAGUUACUGCACAAUGGCGUUGGCGUUCGACGAGUUCGGGAGGCCCUUCAUCAUCCUCAAGGAGCAGGAGCAGAAGACGCGGCUGCGGGGGUUGGACGCGCAGAGGGCCAACAUCUCCGCGGGGCGCGCUGUGGCUCGCAUCCUCCGCACCUCGCUCGGCCCUAAGGGCAUGGACAAGAUGCUCCAGAGCCCCGACGGGGACGUCAUCAUCAGUUAGGGUUUACUACUUUUUUCAACCUCUCGUUAUCUGUUGAGUUAAAAUGGAUUUGUGAAGAAACUGAAUACUUCGCUGCUAUCUUAUUGUAUGCUUUUGUACUCCGGUGUAGAGCCUUUAUUGUGACCAGCUGAAGGCUUUUAGUCAUAGUUGUGCACAACAUAAUCAUCUUGCGGAUGACAUAUUGGUAGUAAUUCGUGAAUCCAUACGGCUUUGUGAUUUAGCUUUCUCUAAUGCGAUAGUAAUUUGUGAACUUGCCCGCAAAUGCUUUUGGUUUUGCAGCGCUUGUGCAGCCAAUUGAAAACGUACCCCUCAAUAAGCACUUUCGUACACCCGGAGUUACAUUGUUUGGAUCAUUAACAAUUCAUGUUGGUUUUACUGUGGCAUAUGCCAGCUGGCAAUGCGCCGAGUGUAAUUGUAACUUUUGAUCCGUUUCUGCUUUUUCGGAAUUGUCUGCAGCCCGCAAAUGCUUUUGGUUUGUACUUAGACUAAAAAAAAUGAUUCAAGUCUUAAAAAUUAGUAGUUCAGGGCGGUGCCAAACCCAGUAAAAGAAAAAUUAGCUGAGGGGCUUAUUUCAAAAUGGCCAAUUGUUGGGGAGUUGCAUUACAUUUUUGCCUUCUUUUUAAGGCAUGAUGUGUGGAUGUGGAAGGACUAAAGGACUAGAAACGGAGAGAUGGGUGUGUUGGGGAUUUGAAGUAAUCGGCUCGUCUAGCUUGUUGUGGUUAGCAUUGUCUUGUUUACUUGGAAUGUAAGUGGAUCUGGUUUGAGUCAGUUUAGGUGUAGGAGGAAUCGGAUGGGAUGCUAAAGAUUUGAUUUUUCUAGGCCUUAGGAAUGAAUGAUAAUACACUUCAUUGCUAAUCUGUAGCGUUUUCUUUCUCUUUUAACCUUUGGGACGUAUGAGUAAUAUCUAUUUCCAUCAGAUUGGAUUAACUGUAUUGAUAUCGUGUAGUACCUCAGUUAAUUGUUCAUAACAAUUAUGCAUAUAUAAAACUAUUUUGUAGUUUCUGUAUUGUUCUUCAGAUCUACUAAAUUAUUUCGUAGAUUGGAUUCUUACUGUUGCUCAUUAGACCCAUUCGUUGUGAGAUAAUAGCCUGAAGCAAAUCCUGUUCGAAUUUUAUGUUGUGCAAUUCGCUGAUCUUUGUGUCUUGCAUCAAUAGCAAAUGAUGGGGCAACAAUCUUGGAGCAAAUGGAUGUUGACAAUCAGAUUGCAAAGCUGAUGGUGGAAUUAUCUCGUAGUCAGGACUAUGAAAUUGGUGAUGGUACAACUGGAGUUGUUGUUAUGGCUGGUGCUCUUUUAGAACAGGCCGAAAAGCUACUCGAACGUGGCAUCCAUCCUAUUAGGAUUGCUGAGGGUUAUGAGAUGGCCUCCAGGAUUGCUUUUGAGCAUCUUGAGCGUAUCUCUCAAAAGUUUGAAUUCAGUGCGACUGAUAUAGAGCCUUUGGUUCAGACGUGCAUGACAACUUUGUCCUCGAAAAUGUAAGUCUGCUUGAAUAUUCUUCCACAGUUUGUAGAAUGGUCAAUGAUACUUUAUUUUAGAUUUUUUUUUUUCCUUUGGUUCUUUUUUGUGAUUGGAAAGAUGAUUAACGUUGGUUUUCGUAUUAUCGUAAUGCUCUAACAAAACCAACAAUAUGGCGGACUGAUGGUUUGGAUUUCACAAUUGUUUGUCAUUGUUCUGAGUAGGGUCUUGCUUACCUUUUAUUGCUGCUUGGUUGAUUUCACUUCUUCCAGAUGUAAUUUUUAUGUCAUAACAAAGAAAAUGUACUUGUUCGCCACUUUCUUAUGUGGCCAUUUCUUGUCAAAUGUAAAUUAGUUGCAAUCUUUUUUGAUUACCACCAUAUUGCUAGAAUUGUCUUAGAAAGAAAACAAAGCAUGUAGUAGGAUGCCAAAACUCCCUGAAAAGCUUCAUAAAUAGAUCAAGACAAAUUUGUGGUAACAUUGCGGAUUUCUUUCUUUUUUUUUUUUUUUUUUUUUUUUUUNUGCAAGGUAAAAAGCUGCUCUUUUUUGAGCCAUUAGAAAAUGCAAGUGUCUAUAAUUUAUGCAUUUGAUCUUUUGAAUUCUGAGAGUUUAAGCUAGCACAAUUAUGGUGUUAGUAUACUCAAUUGUGUUUGUGGUGUUGUAGUUUUGAUUUCAUGGACAGUUUUUCUUUUUCUCUUUUUGUUGUUGGGGGGUGGGGGUUGUGUUUUUUGUUUGGUUUUUUUUUCUUUUUUUUGGGUUGGGGGGGUGGGGGGGUGGGGGGAGUGAUAUUUAUCAAUUAAAACUGAAGAUGAAAGUUCUUAUUAUCCUGUCAUAUGGGGUACCGAGCUAUCUAUUCUUUUUUAACUUGUAGAGUGACUUAUUUGCUGAUCUCGCUUGUUCUAUUUUUGAAUCAUUGUAGGAUGUUGGCGCAACUCUAGUUAUUUGUCAAUGGGGCUUUGAUGAUGAAGCAAAUCAUCUGUUAAUGCAUAGGAAUCUGCCAGCUGUCAGAUGGGUUGGCGGUGUUGAACUGGAAUUGAUUGCAAUAGCUACAGGUAACCAUAUUCAUCCUUUUCCUGUAGAUGGAAGAGUUUGCUAAGAGCCUGAGGAAUUUCCCCUGUUGGCUACAUGCAGGUGGAAGAAUAGUUCCCAGAUUCCAAGAGUUGACACCAGAAAAGUUGGGGAAGGUAUAUUUAUUUUUGCAAUUUAUUCACCUCAGAUUUUGAUAUUUUUGAAGGCUAACAAUUUACUUUGGUGUUGAAUCCCUUAUAUUGAAAUCUUGGUUCUAAUUCUUUUUUGAUUACCAUUAACUGUGCAAUUAUCAUUUAAACAGAUUACUCUUAUUUGAUGUACUUGAUCAGGCCGGAUUGGUGAGAGAGAAGUCUUUCGGAACAACAAAAGAUCGUAUGCUGUACAUUGAACAGUGUGCAAAUUCCAGGGCUGUAACCAUUUUCAUUCGUGGUGGUAUGUUUGAAUAGCCCCAAUGUGAUGCCCUGUCAUGCAAUUGAGCAUAUUAUCAUUGUCGACCAUGAAAUAACAUGUCUAAGUUACAUUUUGAACAUUUAUACUGGUUUUUGAAAGUUGUGGUGCGAGAAAAUUAUCCUGAGUGCUGCAUAGCUAAUCUUAUGAAAUUACAAAAUGUGAUGGUGUAGGCAACAAGAUGAUGAUUGAGGAGACAAAACGUAGUCUUCAUGAUGCACUUUGCGUUGCAAGGAAUCUUAUUCGUAACAAUUCCAUAGUUUAUGGUGGUGGCUCAGCUGAGAUCUCUUGCUCUAUUGCUGUUGAUGCUGCUGCAGAUCGAUAUCCUGGAGUUGAGCAGGUGAUUAUUUAGCAUUCAACAUAUGGAUUUUUUUUAGUUCCAUUUUUUUUUCCCUUUUUUUUAAACCUUGUCGACUUUUUCAGUUUUUGCAAUUUUUGGCCGAAAUUUUCCUUUACAGACUGAAUUACACUCAACGCUCCUUUGUAUGAAUGCCAGGGUCCUUUUAGCCUUUGAAAAGAUGCUCUUGUCGAAAGUUGUGUAAAUAGAAAAAGACUUCUUAUUUUCAUUUCUUUUUUCUGGGGUAAAAUGGCCUUCAAAUUAUAUCUUCUGAAAGGACGGCAGACUUGACUCGCUAUUUUACUUCUGUAUAUGCAGUAUGCUAUCAGGUCAUUAGCUGAAGCUUUAGAUUCAAUACCAUUGGCUCUAGCGGAGAACAGUGGCCUGCAACCUAUUAAUACUCUGACUGCAGUCAAAUCUCAGCAAGUCAAGGUAUUGAUUACUAAUUCUUUUUGUGGUAAUAUCUUUCUACUACAUUUGUUAUAUAUUCGAAUCCUCUGCAACUUCAUAAUAGAUUUGUUUUUUUCCCCUGAUGAAUGGUCUUAAAGUAGUUUUGAAUUUCGGCAUGUAAAUUCAAAAUUUGAUGUUUGCCUCUGUUGUAUGUUGGACUUCAGUGUUUAAAAAUCAUAUAUUAGUCUACCAAUCUCUGUAAUUUUUUUAGUUUCAACAUACCAAUUAUUUUGAUAGAUAUAAUUAAUUGUGUGUGUGUGUUUUCCCCCCUUUAUAGUGCUCCUUCAAUUUUCUUAACCUCUUGGUUCGGUGGAUGCAGGAAAACAAUCCGUUCUGUGGCAUCGAUUGCAACGAUGUCGGGACAAAUGACAUGAAAGAGCAGAAUGUAUUCGAGACUUUGAUCGGAAAACAGCAGCAAAUCUUGUUGGCAACACAGGUGGUGAAAAUGAUCCUUAAGAUUGACGAUGUGAUCGCACCAUCCGAUUAUUGAUGUUGUUUGAGAGAGAAGCAUUUGCCAAGUUUUGCGUUCUGGACAGUUUAACUAUCGUCCGAAACUGAAACUGGUCUAAAAGGCCAAGUCGUUAUGUGGUGUUUGGAAAUGUUUGUUGAGCCUGAUAACUGUGCUUUAAGAUCUGAUUUACAUCUCGCUGUGACUGCUUAUAUUGUGCCUUGUUAAUGUAUUGGAGAGUGAAGAACUUUUGGACAAACUGACGAAGAGGAUAGCAGUAAAUGUUUUGUCGAUUAUUUAUGUAUCAACGACGGUGAAGAUUUAAGGUAUUUCUUUGAAGAAUUUUCAUUUCUGAUAAAUUCUUAUGUUGCUUGGGUUUCUGUUCUGAAGCUUUAUCAUAAAUAUAAUAGCAUUGAAAAGUAGCGUAAACAGUGUAGCAGUGCUUCUGUCAUUAGGGGAUGAUUGCUUCUGUCAUUUGUCACAUGGCUGAGCGGCUGUCAUGCAGGCGAACGAGGAAGAAGGAAGAAGUCCUCUCUUUGAACUGAUAUUCCUUUUGCUACCUGCAUGUACUAUGGUGAUUGUGAUUUCAGGAUGUGAUGCGAAGGAGUAGAGUAGUUUGAUUCCUGUAUUAUGAGUCUAGAGUAUGUUGGGUGUUAAUAUUGUUAGAUGGAAUAUCUGUUACACAGAAUAUUCUUAGGGGAAGAGGGAAAUUAUGGUAGAGAGAGAGAUGGAUGCAGUAAGUGCUCGUAUUCAAAACUCGCUAAUAACGAACUAAAAGUUGUUGCGGAUAGGCGGUUUAAGGCGGAAAUCGACAGACUGAAGCUCGGGCUGCUGCGGAGUUCUACAUGCCGGGCAACUCCUGCAUCCGAGCUCUCGCAAGACUAUGAGCUCAUCUGAUACGACCUCCAGGGUCAUUCUCCUCCCAUCGCUUCAAUGUCAAUCAAAUUAAACACUCAGAGGAAUCCGAACAAACUCAUAGUUGAUUUAAAAUAGUGUGUCAAUCCAUGGUUUCUUCCUCAGUUCCUAGUAAUUUUGCAUCAUAAUAAAAUAUGAUUGAGUAGGUAAUUGAAACAUUGUUUCUGUUGCCAUUUCUAAUUAACAAUUAGACGGAACAUGUGAUUAUUUGCUGUAGUUGCGUAUGAACCAAGCAGCUAUUUUCAUACAUCAUUGUGUUUACUGUUAGAAAGUUAAGGUUCAAUAAGGCAACAAGCUAAAGUUGUCUGAUACUGUAUGAACUGUUGCUUUGUUUCAUUUCUGUUUUAUGAUGCUCCAUUCUCUGUGAAUUGUUGUCUUCUUGUUCAUUUUCGGCAAGAGCAGUAAAAUGUAGUGUUUAAAGAGAUCUCUCUAGCUAUCUAAAACGUCUAUGGAGUGAUAUAGUUUUGUGAGUUCUUUCUUUUGUUGUUCUAAUGGCUAUGCUUGUUUUGUUGGUCUUCUUAUCAAGAUUAUUUAGAAGGAAUAAAUUUAACGGUUUGCUGUCAGAGGAAUUUGCCAGGACUUGUGAUCACAAUUCCACCUCAUAAGGGUUUUCUUCCCGUUUGAAUACUUGGAUUGAUCACUUUAGUUUGCUGACCUAGGAUCCAGCUCGAAAUAUAAGGUCUAGUUUCCUCUAGUUGUUUGAGUUGUGAUUGUUCCUAAUCUGAUUUUCCUCUCUUGCACAUCACGAUUUUUGCGACUGAUUUAUCAUCUCUUGGGAUUGUUUUAAUGCUAAAGAAAGAUACAACAGUGUUGAUUUGCGUUCUUUCAUAAAUUGCAGGUGAGGAAAUCGAUGUGCCGAAUCAAGCAUGUCUUGACCGAGAGAGCAAUUGCCGAGCCUGAUCCUAGGAGGUCUGCGGAGAUGAAGAGGAUGAUUAAUGCGCUUUGAUAUCCUUCGGGAACCCAACCCACUUUAAAUCUUAACUUAGAUUCAGAUAUGUCUUCUGUUGUUUGUACAUUUGCCUGAAGUUAACGACUGCUCUCGUGAAUCGCAUGUGUUUGGGACUCAAUAUAUUUUUGGAAAUGCUUGUUAUGGAAAAUUUGAACCGAAAUAUACUCGAUGCCUUCUAAGAUAUCUGUUCUAUCUACUUUUAGCAGUCUAGCUAGCAUCUAUUUUAUUAAUCUCUUGGCUACUUCCAAUUCUUCUCCUUAGAAUUAUUGAUGUUGAGUAAGUGAUUACACAGGCUCUGAUUUCAUGAAAGGAAAGAUAGUGUACUGAAUUCAUGUGUAUUAACAUUCUUUGAUGAUUUUUUUUAUGUACAGAGAAGGUUGCUCUUCUUAUUUCUUAACUAUAUUUCUGCAAUUUUGAAUGAGAGUUUUUAAGUGUUUAAUGUUUUGAGUACAGUGAUUUAGACUCCUGAAAUCUACAGCUGGUAAAGAUCAUGCUUCUUGCUUAUUUUUAUUUUUAUUUUUAUUUUUAUUUUUUCUGAAGGUUGGAGUCAGGAGGAUUAGAUAAUAAUGUUGAGAUAGGUGAAAUCUGUCACAGAUGGUCUGUUACAGUAACUGAUGAAUCAGACAUGUUACCGUCAUUUUAUAAAAAAAUAAUAUUUCUUUUUUUUUUGAAGAGAAGGGACUAAAGAUACUAUAGGCAUAAUUCAUAUCUAUUAUAAAGUUUUACUUAUGAACUAUUUUCCUCUAUUAAGUUUCAAACUACGCGAGUUUAGUCCUACAUGUUGACAAUAAUAAGUUAGUCAUUAUAUUUUCACUGUGCCAUUAUGUUCUUGUGAAAAAAGAAACAAUUUUCUUCAAAAUUUUCUGAAAUUUAUAAUUAUGGUUACAUAGAAUUACACAAAAUAUACAAUAAAACUAAUAGAAAUGAUAAAUGAUCUUAAAUAUAACUAAAAAGAUAUUUUCUAAGGAUAAAAUGGUAAUUUUCUAGAAGAAAAAUAUAUUUAGAAAGGAAUAUAUUGGGUAACUAAAUAUUAGGGACCAGAGUAGGGCUACUAUACUCUUAUGAGUAUAGAGCCCUUCGUACUCAUAAGUUGUUUUCGAUGUUGGGCUUUUCGAAUCGACGAUCCAUAUCGUUAAACAUGAUCUAGAGUAUUUGAAAUUUUUAGAAAAUAAAUUUCGUAAUUUUUCGAAAUCAUUAUAAAGUUCAUCAAGCGGGUAUAAAAUGAACGGCUAAAAUCGAACAACAUUCUAAAAAUGGAUGAUCGGAUCCUUCAAUUUAAGAUCGGAGUUAUUGAUCUUUAUUUAGGUAGUGAAUAAAAUUUUCUAUUAAAAAUUCAACCUAUUCCGAUUCUUUUUUACUGUUAAACUAGCAAAUAUCUUAUACCGGCCGUUAAAAAUUAUCAAUUUUGUAAGCUUUUGAUCGUAUAUUAAAUUAUAUCGAAAAAUUAUAAAAUUUGAUUUCUAAAAGUUUUAAAUGCUCUAGAUAAUGUUUAACGGUAUGAAUCGUCGAUUCGGAAGCUCUAUCAUCGAAAAUAAUUUAUGAGUACGAAGGUCAUCGUACUCGUAAGAAGAUAGUAGCCCGACUUUUAUUAGGGACCAAACUGUUUAAGUUAAAUUAUAGGGACCAGCCUGCAACACAUCCUUUUGUUAAGUACUUUAAUUGCCUUAAUGUUGAUGCCUGCUUAUGGAUUGUCAGCAUUUAUGCCCUCUUUUUCAUUUUUUUUAAUUCUUUUGGCCGCUUUCUUGUGAUAGUUUUGUCAAAUUUUAAUGUUGAAAGAUAUAUUUUUUAGAUUAUGAUUAAGCAUCUUCAUUUUUUUCGAAUUUCUUCUUUUUUUUUUUUUUUUUUUAGAGAGAUAGAUAGCACGCUAUCCGCUUCGUUUAUUUCAUUUAGAAAUAAAUUUAGCUGAAAAUGUGAAUCAAUUAGGAUUCUAAUUUUUUUUUCUUAUUUAAUGUUAAGGUCUGUUUAUUACUAAUGUCUACACUAGCAGAAAAAAUAGAGUUGAUGCGAAAAUAUGUAAGAAUAUGUUUUUAUAUUUUUCGGUGUGAUCAUAAAAAAUAUAUAGAACGUAAUAUUAUGCGCAAAAAAAUAGUGUAAAUUAAGAGUACAUUAAGUUUUUUUUUUUUUUUNUUGAGUGGAGACAAUCUGUAAAUAAUUUUCUCUUAUUUAAAUAAGUUUUUUGGAAGUGGACCUAAUGGUGACGUUUUUUUUAUUUUUAUUUUAUGAAAGGGUGACAUAUACUAAAUAGAGACGUGUUUUUGGUGUCUUCUUUAUCCCAUGUGUCUAACAAUUCGGUCUGUUAGUAUUAAUAAAUUUUGGAAUACAAACCAUUAACCUAUAAUAUUUUGAGAGAUAGAUAGCAUGCUACCCGCUUCAUUUAUUUCAUUUAGAAAUUAGUUUAGCUAGAAAUGUGAAUCAACUAGGAUUCGAUCUUGGGUCUCGGAUACUAACCACCAAGCUCUUUGCCACUUGCUCUAGGGACGGUCGGUUAACCUACAAUAUUUUAGUUAUAAUUUUUAGGGCUUGUUUGGUUCAAGAAUGGAAUUUAAAUAGAUAAUGGAAUGGGAAUGAAUUGGAAUGGUAAUUGGAAUUGCCCACUCUCCCAAGGCGUUUGGUUUAUUUGUGGAUUGAGAAUUAAAAUGAGUUAUUCACAUUUCAUUGUUUGGUUCGUAUAAGCUAAAAAAAUUAUAGGAUACUAUAAUACUAAUUUUACUCUCAAAUAUAAAUUUAUAUUAUUUAAAAUUUAUGAAAAAUAUAAUACUAUUCUCUAAUAAGUUUUCAAAAAAAAAUAUCAAAUUUAUUUUUUAAAACUUUUAUUGAUGUGGGUUAGGGAUAGGGUUUUGAGAGAUGAUAGGUUUUUUUUUUUUGAUGAGAAAGGGGUGAAGAGAAGGAGGGUGAGAUGGUCACAUGGGCUUCGAGAAUUUAGUGGGCUUCCGGAAUGAAAUUUCAAUCCGGACUAGAAGACUGGAAUCAAGUUGAAGGCUAAUGGGCCAUUCCCAUUCCAGUCCGGAAUAGGAAUUCCAAACCGAUUCAUGCGAACCAAACAAAAUUAACCGGAUUUGAUCAAACCGAUUCUCAUUCCAUACUCAAAAUGGAUGAAACAAACAAACUCUUAGCCACCGUUUGGUUCGAGAUUAAGUAAAAACUUGUUAUUUCAUGGAUAGGGUUAAGUUCAGGGUUAAGGUAGGGUUAGAGUAAUUUUGUGUUUGGUUGAGAAUUGGGUUUAGUACAGGUAUAGAUAAAAUAGUGUUUGGUUGGAGUAGAUGGGAUAAGAAUGAUAGUGAAUAAAAUAGUAUUUUGUUUAGUUGGAGUAGUGGGGUGGGGUAGGGUUAGCUAACCCCAUCCCUAAUGGAAUAUUUCAGAAUAGCCCAUUUGAAGUAGGGUUAGCUAACCCCACCCUCCAAAUUAGGUGUUUGGGAAUAACUUUGGAGUUAAGGAGUUAUUCCACCCCUUAAUCCCAAACCAAACGGGUGCUUAGAGUAUUUAGUUCUUUUAUAUAUAUAUAUAUAUAUAUAUAUAUAUAUAUAGAGUUCGGCUACUAUACUAUCGAUAGUACCAAGCCCUUAGUAUUAUUGAGUUUUUUACCGUUAGAUCUACCCUUUGAUCAUUUCCACCCGUUAGAUUAUACUAUUAAACCAACCACNACCCACUCAACCCUAGAGGACUCACAUCAUCCUAACCGCACAUCUCUUAAUCCAAUGACCAAAAACUUGGUAGCAUCAAUGACUUAGUGGUAUUAAUAGUAUAUUAGCCUAGUUCUAUAUAUAUAUAUAUAUAUAUAUAUAUAAUAUGAUUUUUUUUAUUUAAUAUAUAAAACUUUAAAUUUAGAACUUGCAUAGAAUAUAUGACUUCUAGACACCGAAAUAUAAUUUCUACUGAGAUAGCAAAAUAAAGUUUAUUUGGUCUAGCCGUGCAUUGGGCUAAUCUGCCAUACAACAUUGCAAUAGCAGAAAGCAUUAAUGCAUAUAGUAUUGCAUGAGAAAAAAAAAAAAAAAAAGACCGUAAGAAAGUGCAUCCCAUGAAAAAAUAUUCUAUUUAUUUUCUUAAAAUAUAUCAUAUGUAUUAUAUAAAUUGUAAUAAUUCAGUUAAAAUAUAAUUUCACCCGUCAUCCAAAAAAAAAAAAUAUAUAUAUCUCUAUAUACUUGUUUUUUUUUUAAUUUAUUUUGACCUAACUCGCAAAUAGUUUAGGUUGUUGUUUCUCGCCGCCAUCACUUUCCACAGAGAAAAUUAGAGAAAAUUAUGGUGGAAAGCCGCCACCAAGACCUCCUAUUCAAGCCAACUAAUCAGUUUUUAAUUUGAUUUUUUCACUAUAAUUCCCGCAUUCUUUUUUUUUUUUUUCGCAUUCAGUUUCUUAACUUUAAAUAACUCUGUAAUGAAAAGUUUCGCCAACUCUAUCAAAAACUGUUACGUCAGUAUCAAAUAAUUUUUGUAGCAUUUUUCGGUUAAACUUGUUAUUUCAAAAUAAUUUUGUGUGUAUAAUCUGGUCCUAUGAUCACUAGUUCUUUAAGAUUAGUUGUUGCUUAGCGGAUUUUCUUUUGGCACCGUAAUUUGAAUUUAAAUUUUAUAUAGUGUGAAAUAUAUGACCUACAGUCAUCUUUAUUAAAAAAGAAAUUUUUUUAAAUAAAUCUCACCGAUCACGGACGAUGAAAUUGCAGCCGUCGAAAUGGCUCUUUUGCCUGAUGCCACAUAACCGAAACAACCGCUUAAUUGCUCUACGAGUAAUCGUGCACGCUCUUCUCUCCACCAAAAAUGACACCUAAAAUUAAAAAUUAAAAAAUUAAAAACUAAAACAAAAAGAAAAUGUCCACGUAAGAACGGGCCCCACGAGAGGCACCAAUAAUUGCACUCCACCCACGCAUACACUUACUUAAAAAGUCUAGAGAGUUUUAAUUGUGUAGUUUUUUUUUUUUUUUUUAAUAUUUUGGAAGAUAGGUAGCACGCUGUUCAUUUCGUUUAUUUCACUUAAAAAUAAACUUAGCUAGAAAUAUGAUUCAAUUAAGAUUCGAAUUUGAGUCUCGGAUAUCAAUCACUAAGCAUUUUGCCACUUACUCUGGAGACGAUCGUUAGUUUUAAUUGCGUAGUUAAUAAUAAUAUUUGUGUGUAGUUAAUAUUUU
rnacentral:lncRNA from 1 species